rnacentral:lncRNA from 1 species
AACAUGAGCCCUGUGUUUACAAGAAGGUUAGUGGGAGCAUGAUCCUUUUCCUGGUAUUAUAUGUAGAUGACAUAUUACUCAUUGGAAACGAUAUCCCUACCCUACAACAAGUAAAGUCUUGGUUGGGGAAAUGCUUCUCUAUGAAGGACCUAGGUGAAGCAGCCUAUAUAUUACGGGAAAAUUCAUGUGGAAUUGACAAAACCUCCUUGUAUUAAUAAUUAUUUACAUAAUUACCCCUUUCGCCCCUUUAUUGCUAUAUGAACACAGUAUAGAUCGUGCAUCCUGUCCAGUUUCAAUAUUGGACCCAUAGACAUUUAUGCCUGUUACGAGCAUUGGCAAAUUCCACACGUAUGGCAUCGUGUCCUCACAUGCGUUUGUGGAGUACCCAUCAACUGUCUUUUGGGUAUCCAGUUCACGGACACGUGGAUCAGCAUAAAGCCACUCGACUCUACAUCUAGGAUCCAUGGUGUUUCAGGUCGAGAGUGGUAUACACUAUUAUCACAUGAGAAUAACUUAUGACACUUUGAUAAACUUUCUUAUGUAUUCUCAGUAGCGGGGUCUUAAUCGGAUAUAAAUAUUACUUCUUAAUAUUUCAAACCUAGCUUUUAAGACUUUGAUAUAACUCUCUUAUCCAAUGUCCAUGAGAUUGAGCAUCAGUACAACAACCAUAUGUCUUAAUGCUUUACAUGUUAUCCCGAUUCACACUAAAGCUCGACUACGGAUUCUUUUAAGAAUGUGUCCUUUAUGUUUUAAUGUGUGUUUUCCUCUGAUUAGUCCAUGAAUACAUUAAACGGACUAUCUAUCCAGGGACUUAGUUAUCAAAACUAAUUAAAGAAAAUGCUUGAUUAGUUAAUAAAUAAUUCAGUACAAGUACAAAGGAUUGCGCCUCGAGGUUACACAACAAUCUCCACUUAGCAACUAGAGCCAAUCAAGGCAUUCCCCUUAUGGCCAUUGAUCUAGUACUGGCCAUCAUGCUUCUGCUGCGCAAGAGGCUUGUAGUACGUCAGCGAAUUGUCAAGUGUAGGUACUAUACAUAUUUUCAUAUCUCCUCUAUCUCUUAUCUCGAAUGAGAUGAUAACGCCUAAGUAUAUGGUUUGGAUCAGUUGAGUGAUAAUCUAGUUCCUAGCUUGUGCGAUAGACAUUGUAUCAUAAUAGGACAAUGGGAUCCACUAUGGCUAGGAACUAUGUCAAGUUUCAUUACAGAACUUAUGAUCCAACACUUCCUUGCUGCACUUGAGGCAGCAUAAAUACUCGGCCUCGGUUGUAGACUUAGCAACUGUAUCUUGCUCUUUUGACUUUUCUAGCUCACAGCGCCACCAUUUAAGCCAAAAGACACAUAACCAUUGGAACCAUUUCAUAUUAAAGCUUUCAACACUUUGUCUAUGUACUGUCUGGACUUAGCAGCAUUUUUGUGACUCUAUCUCUAUAAUUACUGAUUUCCUAACUUACAUGCUGCUUCACACUAGGUUUCCUCAUAGAGAGAUAGAGAAGAAGCAUUUCCCCCAAACAACAACAGUACAGCAGAAAAACCCUCAAAAAACACCCACCAACAAAUCAAAACCAACACAAGGAAAAACAUAACCCAAAACCAAUGGCUGCAAAUAUGAAUUUACGUCAAUGCUCCUGAAAUUGUCGGAAAAAAAGCAGAACCAAACAGGUGCGAAAAGAGCGUAUCAGUUCUACCAAAGAAGAUAGAUCAAUGUCAAUCCAAUAUACAAUAACCAGAGGAAAACCAAGGAAUCAUGACAUCACCCACCUAACCAUUCUUUAAACAGGGCUCAUGUUCGUACUUGAUCCAAUGAGUAAAUACAUCACCUUGAUGAGAUAUCCAUAAAUCCUCAAAACCUCAGUAGGUGAAAACACCAACACCCAACACCAAAACCAAAACGAGUCCCAACACAAGCCAAACAAGGUAGACCAAAACGCCAAACAACGCAAAAACCAAAAACAGAAAAUGCACCACAACAAAAACAAACCACUCAAACAAAAAAUUACAAAACAAGAAAAAAAAAAAAAAAGACAAAAGACCACGCCAGAAAAAAAACAAUCAAAAAAAAACAAAUAAAAAAAAUAUAAAAAAACACCACCAGAAAACGCAAAAACAAAGGAAAAAAAACAACAAAAAAAAAGGAAAAAAAACCAAAAUUCCAACACAACAAAAACACAAAAAACAUACAUCAAAACCAAAAAAACCCACAAAAACCAAGACACAAACCCAAGCACACCAAAAACAAAGACCACACCCAAGAAAACUGUACCACAACAAACAAAAAACCAAAAACACAACAACCCUACCUUCCUGCAAUUGACCUACAACGCUUGGCAUUCAGUAGCUAAACUAACUCGACUCAGGUUAGCUCUCUCCACAAAAACUACUGUGAUUUACCAUGCUCACAAAAAAAUGUCAGCAAUACGUGAUAGAUGCCAAAUGCUCUGUGAAUAUCACUGAAUUUCUUCUAAAUGUACUCAUACUAUCUCAGCACCCAAAAUGACAAAACCCACUCCUCAUCUCAAUAAUAGGAAAAAUAAAAUCGAUAUUUCUAAAGAAACGGAAAACAUCCACCGUAUCGAAAAAAACAAGCUGACAAAACAUUUUGCCCUUCAGAAGGAUUGUUAAUGAUGUGUAGAAGUGUGAUACCCUCUUGUUUCUUUAGGAUACACCUCACAAAUAAGCAUUUGUCAGAUUUGUGCAUAUUCAAGCUUAAGUGUUGAAAUUUGGUCGUUCACAUUAAACUUCGCAACCCAAAUCUUCAUGUAAGACAUAUGUGGUUUCGUACCACUCCAUUAUCUCAUCUCAUUGGUGUUUUCUCAACCCUUUUUUGGAUGAAACGGUAUAAUGAGCGGUAUUUCAGUUACUCUUUAGAGAUAUUGACUAAUCCAAGUAAAGCAAGAAAAUCAUACACUCCGAGUCGCUCACCGCACUUGCUAUAUUAUUCCAAAGGAAAUGCGUUAGGAAAGCGAUUCUCGGGGUAAGGGGGUUUUGGUUAUGCAAUGGGAACUAACAGGUGUUAGGCAACCCAAAAGAUCCUUAGGUACUCCUAGGAACGCCUUUUCACAGUUUGUUGAAGGUUGUUUUUUUUUGUGAAAAUUUUAUUUGUGCCAAACAUUGAUUGAAGGGAUGAGAAAAAGAAUAUACAAAAUUAUAUUUACAUAUUUGUGUUUGAAUGGAUAACCAUUGCUACGUACCAUCUUAAAAAGAUUAGGAUCAAACUGUAGUCGUGGGUAAAAAAAAAAAUUCAAAAAAAAAGUUGGUGAAUUGAUUGAGUCCAAAAGCCUUUAAGGUCUUUUGUAUCAAAGGACGCCUACGCGCGCAUCAAAGAGAAAGAACAUAGUAGUGCGUCGCCCAUCUGUCACGAUUUGCAGUGAUCAAAAGCAGAUUGGGUUUUCCUUUCAAAGCCAUUUCCUGACGCGAGGCGUUGCGAGGUGGAGAAAAAGAGGGAAAACUCAACCAAACCACAAACCACCAUACAUAUAUAGCCUGAGUCGUGAGAGGAGGACAUCCGUCAUGCAUGUUUCCUCACGCCCACAUAAGUAGUGCCAUACGCCUAUUACUCUUCGCGAAUUCACGACUAAUUAAUAAUAAGCCAUGUAUAUAUCUGAUAGACCUCAACUCCUCAUCUAUGCACAUUCAUUUCUACUAGAGAAAAGUGAGUAUAUACUACCUUCAAGAGUCCUUCCGCUCUCUCCUUCCAAAGCUAAUAGCUAAUGGUUAUUAAAAAAAAGUGUUUGAUUAAGAAGCGUGGCCAUUGAGAACACCAUCAAAAAAGUAUUUGAAUGGUUAUAUUUACCAAUUAAAAAGUAUUUACAAAAAUAUGGCGUUAACGAAGUGGAUUUAAAGGUUCAAUUCAAAAUAAGUUUAGUGAUCAAAAUCAGUUUGAAAAUCAAAAAGCAUAAGGCUUAGGUUUCUAAUGUUUGAAAAAACAAACGUUAUGUUGCACAAAGUUUCGGCUUGGGAUCCGAUUGAUGUAUGGGGGAGAAAAAAAACAAAAAAAAGAAGGGUUUAACUUCAACAAGGGUAUCAAUAAUGCUAUUAUACGAUGCCAGCAUAUAGAAGCGUGCGCCAAUAUAAUGAAAUACCUAGAAUUAAGAGAGGUCCUCCGUGCCGCCUGAGUCUAUUACUCAUAUUGAUGAUCGAGGGAUAGAGAGCUAUCAUCCUUUGGUUCCAUUUAUACGGAGUCAGGAUCAAGAUAAGUCUCAUCUCAAUGUCACUUAAGCACAGGUAAUACGAUAACCUCCAGGUGGUAUUCCCACAAAUAAAGUUGGAACAACCAGGCCAUCUCUGCAAGAGUCAUGUGAACCGCACAACCAAUCCACCAAAAAAUACUAACUCAAACAUUUUUUGCCGAUUCAAUCCACUAAGAACACAGGUGAAAAAUGUCUGAGGAGAGAGAGCUACAAAUUUUUGGGUAGAGUGUUGGCACUACAAAUUUCAAGUGAAGAUAUUGCUUCCUCCCAAAUGACAUGAAAUUAGAAGGUAUGACCACAUGAUAUCUAUGUCUGUGCGAAGAUAUAACAACUUGCACAUCAUCAAAAAGUGCUCAACUUAAGAGAAAGCCUCCUUGUUACCCAAUGGCGACCUGUAAGAGACAACCAUAAACAAAUGAUGCUAAUAAGAUUCAUGCCGACGAUGCCAAUGAAACGCUUAUCUCAUGCUAGCUACCUAUGAACUCAGAGUGGCAAAAAGCAAAAUGAGAAACCAUGAGCGUCGAUAUGAUCGAACACCGAAGAAUCGUUUCGUUCUCUAAAUCAAACGAAGCAAUGCAUCAAAGCAAGAAGGAGGAUAUGCAGUUUUCAGACCGCACUUUCAAAUACCUGCAUCAUCACUCUGUUUCAAGAAAACUAUCAGAGUUAGCUUUGAUGGGCGAUAAAGAUGCCCAUGUGUUAGGAUUCCCUAUCAGCAUGGGCUAAACCUCGAUCAAUGGGAAGAGAUACGAUUUGAUGAAAGCAUGUGCGAACAUACUGACUUGAAUGGUGCUAUGGCCGUGUUUUCCCCUCAGGAGGCAUAUGAAUGACACUUAGCAAUCGCGGUGACUAAUUUGAUCUUGCAAUCGUUGCCAAAAUUCAGUCAAUUUUCUAAAUUCAAUUAUGAGAUUGAUAUGGAAAAAUUCUCUUACUGAACUGCUAGCCAUGUUAAUAUGCUGGCAGAAUCUGAAGUCAAAAGGAAGUCUCUAUGAUGAUCGAAUGGAGAAGAGACAGAACGAAAAGACCCACCAAACAGGAUGAUAAAGGAAAGACUAGGAAGUUGCCAAACCCAAAACCUAUGUGCUGCUUUGAAAGCUAGUGAGAGGCAUAGCAAAGAAGGCACCGUGCUUCCAUUGUGGGUGAAGACGGGACUAUUGGAAGAGAAAUUUACCAUAAGUAUGCCUGGAUAUUAAAAAGCAAUUGGAGUAAGACUCAACUUCAGCUAUUUUGUUAUUGAAAUUAAUUUAUCUACUCUGCAUCAUCCGUAUUAGUAGUGGAUGCGUUCUCACAUUUGUACCAAUGUGGCAGGGAUUAAAAAUGAUAGAGAAUUUUGGCAAAAAGGUGAAGUUGACCUACGAGUUGGCAAUGUGGGAAGCAAAGGUUGCGGGCUUUAGCACAUUAGGGUAUAUAUAAUUAAACCGUAGGAAACUUAUGUAUUGACUUUACCUAGAGUGUUUAAUAUUUCAUUAGAAACUGUAUUAUUGUACCUGUUAUUCAGCAGGAAUAUUAUUUCCGUUUCUUGUUGACAAGUUUGGUUUAUUCUAUUUAUAAUUAAAGAACAAUUGAGCUUUGCUCAAUUUAUUUGAAUGAAGAUAUUCAUAUGCUAUCUCCACGAAAGAGAGGUAAAAUCUGAUUCAUUUGUCUGACUAUAGUUAGUGCCUUGUUCCUUUGAUCAGAUCCGCUCAUAUUAUGGAAACAUUAAUCUUAAAAGGUAUGCUACCUUCUAAUGAGUUAAAUAAUUUACUAGCUUUACCUCAUUUUGGUUCUUGUUGGUCUUCCAUACUUUCGUCUCCUUUAUCCAUGAUGCAGAACGGGUAGAUUAUUUCAGCGAAACACCUGCACAUGUCACUAAUGUUGUAUUCACUGAAUAUCUCUUGGACUCUUUUUGAUCUUAGAGAUAUUCAUUAUGGAGACUAUGCAUGAAUCAUCUUUCUAGGAUUUGGUUAAGAUGAGCCAAGUCUUACAUUCACAUAGACAAAGGUUGAAGAGCUAAGAUUCUUUGGCCCUCAUUACAUACUCUAAGACCCCAAUUUUUGCCCUACGAUCCCUCAUGGACAUCAUAUCAUAUUCAUAUCAUUGACUUCAAGGAUCAUGGUGCACCUUUGGCUUCCCUCCUAGUGGGUGGGUAUCUUUGUGGAGAGUGGUUCUUGAUCACCAGAGUCAGGUAGUCAUUGUGCAUGUGGCUGCUCAAAUGAGAGAUGGAUCAUUGUCUCUUACAGUUCCUAUUAGCUCAAAGUUACAAAAAUAAGAAUUUUUUGUUUCUAUUUUUACUAACCUUAAUGCUUUAUUAUGCAAGCUGAACAUUUUUAUUUUAUUCAGACUUAUGUUCGUUUUCUAAUCAUGUUUCUCGAUUAUCUAGCCAUUUAGUUUCUAAUAAGUAAAUCGAAUGAUCCAGUAAUUCAUGAGAGAAAAACAAUUUUGAGUGGGAUAACCAUGAUUCUUUCAGUAUUAACGAAGGCAUGCUUUCGGGUGAUCAUGAACAUUUCAUAUGAGUGAUAGACUUAUCCAACAUAUAGGGAAGUACUCACACAACGCAUCUCAAGAAGGGCAGCAGGAGCUGGAGAAUCCACUCAAGAGCAUAGUGCUUCAGUUCAAUAUAGACCUUAACACCUUGAGGCUACCUGUAGAGACAAAUCUUAGACUGAUGUUUAUUGAUAGUGUUCCAUCAGAUUGAAGUAUUAGUUGCUAGGGAAAAUGUGUUGUGGAGAUGUCUUAUUCAAUAUCUACGUAUAAGCCUCAUAAUAUGGCCAUGUCAAAAAUCAUCAUUGCCUAGAAUAUUUGUAAGGUCAUUCUAAGGGUCUCGAGGAGAGCAAAGUUUUCUGAGAUGAAUAGAGUGAAUGUACACUUCUUAAUUUUCAUAACUGCCAAAAAUUGGCAAAGUCACUUUUCCUCAACGUCUCGGUAUACACAUGUCCAAGCAAGGGCUUCAAAGUCAAAUUUUGUCCAACAUGAGAUGUUGAGGACGAUCUUUUUCUCUGGCCUUUCCAAAAAGUCCAAGAACACUCUAUUUCUCAGUGUGUGGUCGGCAACGUUAGUGAUAUCAAAAAUCAAUUUUACAACAAGAGAAAGUAGUGAGCAAACUUUCAAGUUAGCAUAACUCUUGAACCAUUUGGCCAAUUUGUGGAUCUUUUUGGAGCGAUCCACAUUACGAAUUUAUGCCUCAUGAUGAGCGCAUGAUGAUCAUAAUGCAUUAUCUCAUGUGUCACAAAUUUACUCUAUCUCCAAAAUAAAUCAUCACAUUGUCUAGUUGGAAGGAUUACAUUGUUUUUCCACAGAUAGGAACACGAUAUUUAAAGAUGUCAUUGUGGAGGAAAAAACUGAAGAGCGUUCCGAAUUUUGAGAAAGUACACUUUCCAUCGCGAACUAUUUAGAUGCCAGAAUCAUUUCCAAUCACUUCAAAACAGGUUUUGUGAUUGCUUCAUAGGCUUUUCUCGUGACGGUAUCCUCACUCUGGUUUCAUUAUUGGGAGAAAAGGGCAAUUAUUUCUCAGAAUUGACGAGAGGUAGACAAUAGUAUAUGAAUGCAUGUUCAUUUCUGAGAACAUGCCCGAUUUCACGUACCUACAUAUCGGCUAUCAUGAUUAAGAAACUGGAUUAAAGUUUGGUAUUUAAAGCUAACUCAUAACAGAAAGAUCGAAUCCCACAUCAUAAUUUCAGAUCAAAUCCAAAAACCUCAAAUCUCUCAAAUCUUCAAAGGCUUUUCUUCACUUUGCUGUCCCUCGACUCUUGAAUAGUACACUACUGCCACAAAGAGUGUUGUGCCAAAUUCCAAUCAUACAAAAAAAUAUAUCAAAAGCAACAAUUGUGAGUCAUAUUUUUUCGCGUUGAAGAAAGAAAAUGGGGGUGGGGGGUGAGCAAAAUCGUGAAGAAUCACCACUGGUUGGAACCUAAUGCGCCUACUUCCAUGGACAUUUCUGGAGAUUGGCAUUCUCGAAGUAUAAAGGGCAUUAGUUAUGUGUAAUUCUGGAAGCAUAGAUUUCAUUCUAUGUCUUACACCUGCUACUCGACAUCCAAAAAGAAUCCUGUUUUGCACUUUGAGCCUUGAAGCAAGUAAUCAAGAACUGCUAUUCAUCACUCAGGUCAAAACUCGAUCAAUCCAUUCUUGCAAUUAUAUAUGCUUUUGUAGAUCUUGAAACGUAGAGUAUUAUGGCAACUAUAGAAUCUCUUUAAAACAUUUGCAGUAUUGAUUUAAAGUGUAUGUUGAUUUGCAAAGAUUGAGGAUUGAAUUUGUGUUUUGCUCGAUUCGCUUGAACAUGAUUAAGAUUUAGGUCAAAUGAAUGAUUAGUCCCACACAAUUCGAGUGGAAUUACUUGUUCGGGAUAAUAAAUGUUCCCGUGGAGUAAAAACAAUCCAGGUUCCCUAUGAAGUGUACAUUCGUGCCUCCUGGUUAGUUUCUGUGAGAUUUUUGUCCUUGAUGAUGAAGAACCAUCACGACACGUGAUGAAUGUCAUGAUUUCGGUUCGAUUCGCGUUUAGAUCCACUUGCCUGCCUUUGCUUUUGAAUUUUUGUGUUUCCACUCCCGCAGCCAGGAAUCAGUGACACUCGAAUCAGAAGGGACGCCAGCGCCUUUUAAUGAAACGAAGGCGUUUUGAGAAAAAACGCGGCUCAAUUUGAAUAGCGCUGGGGUUCGAUUCCCGGCUUCCAACCAAAUCCAAUGCUCUUGCAUUAUUUCUUCAUGUGAAUGCCUUACAUGUUAACGACUUGCUUUGGCCUUCAUUCAUUUUUUUUUAGUUCUUUCAUCUAAAAAUUGAUCAACUCAAAACAUACGCAUCCAAAAUUCAUGAUUCUUUUUUUGAUGUUCCUCAUGGGUAGUAUCUGGGAACUCUUGUAUAGGAGUGUUUUUUUAAUACAAUUUGUGCCACGUAUGACCUUGGUAUGUUUAAAAUGCCUGUAGGGUUGUGAUACAUUUAUCAGUGUACCAUUUCUUGCUUCAACCUUGCUAGUCAAACUCUUCCUCUUCAGAUCUUUGAUCGCACUCUUUAAUGAGUUCUGUUGAAUACUUUAUCACGAUGUCAUGUUGUAUGGUCACUCAGGUUGGUCAUUUUGGUGUACUAUGGUUUUGCUAUUUUGGAGUUCCUGGAUUGUGAGUUAUGAUGUUAAUCUUUGGAGGUUGACAAUUGUGUCACACCAUGUAUUAUUCACUGUUCUUAUUUUAUUUUUCCGAAUGCUUAUGCCAACUAUUGACUAUCAAUUGCUCUGGAUUUUGCAAGUAUUAAGGAUACUUCUGAAUGUCUAGUUUGCUUGUGAUUUUUACUGGAUUUUUUGAAGGCAUUUUCAAUUUGUUUAAUUUUUCUUUGCUGUUUUGGUCAUUUGUGACUCUUAUUGAGUGUUGGAACUUUCCAUUGCUUUGUGAAAUUCUAUGCCUUAUCACAUUAGAGCCUAAAUGUUGUUACAGUGUUCUUACAUGUUGAAGUGUUAUCAUGGCUUUGGUUUCAUUCAUUAUCUAAUAUGCCAAUUUGCUGUUCAUUACACUUCCCUAAAGUUGAUUGAUUGAUUUAUUGCCUUGUAUAGCUUGUAUUGAACAUGCUCUUGAACUUGUUGAGUUUAACUGACUGGGCUUCCCUUUAUACCAUGAAUCCAAAUGUAAUCAUAUAUUGAGUCGCAUGUGGUGCUCAUUGAAUGUAUUAUCUAGUGUGAAGCCGUAAUGAGAUUUUACCUCGGAAAAAUUAUUGAGCCAUCUUCGCAUAAUAAUGCAUCAUGUUAGUGUACUGAGGAAACCCUAUACAAAUGUGUGUUUACCAUACAUGGGUUCUUAACUUGCCUAGUCUUUGGUCAAACUCAGAGUAGAUACUUCGUCGUGUAAUGAUGCAUAUUCAUCAGAAUGGAUAGCAUAUAUUGCGAUUUAAAUUAGUGAGAACACAAGAACCAUCAGGAAUAUAGGUGAUCUUAUGUUGAAUUACAAUGCGUGAUUUUGAUCAAGGUUUCAAUUGUAUCUGCCUGUUUAGAAAUAUGAAUUCUGUUCUCCUCCUUUGACCCUCGAGCUUUGGAAACUAGGUGACCAAUUAAGGCGUGAACUUGGUUAGAGGGGUAUACUAAUUCCUCUCUCAACACUAUUGAAUUUUUUUCAGCUCGUAUCAAUACCCAAAGAAUUGAGGCUUAUAUAAAGGGAGCAAUUAUUCAAGUGAUUGAGUUUGGUUAGACUUUGCUCUCUGAAGCAUUGAACUAGAGAGCUUAUGGUUUAUUUUCGACUUCCGUUGAGAAUAGGGGGUGAUCGCGUAAAAUCUGGUACUUGAGUUCUGGCUCUUCGUGCGAUGCAUGUGAUGAUAAGUUGUAUAUGCAAAAAGCUCGUUUGUCGACCAAAGAGUGUGGGAGUUCAGAUAGAAACUUGUCUGUUUUGACUUUAUUUUACUAUCUAUUACCUCAUAAUGUGCUUGUAUACUGAUGUAUAUUAUUGGAAUUUGAAUUUCAUAUACUCGCAUGAGGGUACCCUAGAUGAUUUAUGUCCCUUAUAUUCCAUUCUCGAGAGAUCUAUUGGAGUAGUGUUUGACAUUUGACAUAGGAUUUUGAUAAUAAGAUUGUGCAGGAGGCGUAAGAAUCAUGACUAAAGGCAUCUGUCGAUUCCGUAGAUAGAUACUGCUAAGAGAUACCUGGCUUUAUGUUACUUAAGCCAAGGCAACUGUCUGAAAAGCCUCCUUAAUGAGGGCAAAUGUUUUGUUGAUUGGUUGAACCUAUUUCAACGCCCCUCAAGCAGGUGAAAUUGAGGGAGCCUCAUGAUGAGUAGUCCCAUAUGAACGAUAGCAUCAAUCAAAUGAGAUAUGUAGCCUAUCUCUACUAUCUCAAUGAGAAGGUGAUGCUGCGCCAAGAAUAUGCUCCACACUCGGAAAUAUGUGUAUUGGUGGAUUGCAUAGUGAGUAAUGGACCUCCUCGACUAGACCGAUACAAUAUGAGUCUUGAGACGUGUGGUAAGAAUCUUACUCAUUGGCGCAAGAGACAAAAGGCUCGUGGAGAGAGUUCCAUCUUUCUGAACUUCCGCACCCAAACACGGACUUGUGAUAUUCAUGCAGAUGUUCUUCCCGACCAGGGAUAAGGAAGGUGAUGAGGCACACCCCUCAUAUCCUUCAUGCUGCUUCACGUUGGUCUAUUCCAAGGGUUAAGAUGCAAUCCAUCUUACAACCCUCUUAUUCCAGUUGACUAUUCAUCACGAUCAUGACAUCAACCCAUUAGAAAUUAAGCCUAAUACUUCGCGUUUAGUGUUUACAGGUGGGUGCACUCAGAAUAUAUCCUGUAGUCAAUCUCGUGUGGUAUAUUCGCUUGGGUGCUUAUAUAUGUACACGUGGAUAAGACUUGCUUGCCUUUUGCACUUUCGACCGAAUACAUCAAGUAUUAAUAUGGGCUUAUACGUGUAUGGCAGAUAGACCGUACAACAUUAUCUAGGUACUCUUGUGGUUGUUUGUAGUUAACCUAUAUUGAAUGGACAUAGAACCAAUCAAGGCAUGAAAAAUGUGGUCCGAGGUUAAAUAUUCCUCAGAAGCACACAUCUCAUCAUUUCCACUUAAAAAGUGUGAUGGGGCAAAAGAAAGAAAAGAAAGGUAAGAAUCGCAUUUUAUUAUUGGAGUGUGCACAUUUCGAUGCUCACAUAUAUGUGUAGGUUAUAUGGCUGCUGCAGUUCUUUUAGUUCUUGAUACUGCAAUGUGUGGAUACAAUAUGUAAAGACCAUGUUGUUUGGAUUGUUACUUCCUAUGAUAUCCUUGGAGGUUGUAUAAGUCCAGAUAAGAAUUUGGCAUCUGACAUCCCAAGUUUUGUUUUACCUUAGAGAGAUGGUUGUCAUCCAUUUCAUUGGUAUCCGGUAUUCCGCUUUAUGCAUCGUGAUAUUGGAUAAGACCAUCUUUGGCGGUCCGGGUAUCAUUGUUUGUUUUAUGAGAGGGAAAUAGUCUAAACAGGACUUGUGAUUUGGUAUCCGUGCGUCCAAUGACCGCUAUUUAUUUGUGAGAUUGUCAUAAAUUGCAGGAUUGAUGGCCAUCCGGUAUUUUCCCCCCAAACCCCUUUUGAUACCCUAUCUUUUUUCUUUGGGAUGUGAGCGUCAGAGAGCGGCGAAACAAUCUUAUCCUAUUAUAUCUCCUAAGUACUAAUCUAUUUUUAAGUGACUACGGAUGAGCUUCACAGAUCUAUCCAACAAAACCGAGUAAUACUGGAUAACUUUUUGCGCCCCCCCUAAAUUUCCAUAACCACAAAAAAGGAACACCCCCCAUUGACAAAAAACAGCUCUAAAAUAAAAGUGUAGCGAAUAAAAAGGAAUCGACAACACCCCGCGAACGCAUAUAUAAAUGUUAGCGUCUAUCUCCGAGAAACCACACCCUCACCUCAAAAUUAGCACACCCCCAUUAUCCGGUAGUAAUAAUUUUCUAAUUUUUAUAAUCGGAUUAUUUUCCAUAGAAAGUGGGAGCCAAAUUCAAGAGGAGGAGAGCAAUGCGCGAUAUACACUUAACAACCAAUACAUACUAAGAAAGUAUUAGUUAUAUCGAGAGAUUGUACCCCACGUGGUCCACCUGGGGAUAAACCUCAUUCUGUGUCGUAAUCUUUAAGCCUUUAGCCACAAUAUCUCUUCGAGAGACUUUAAAAAACUGUUGACUUGUGUGCAAAACAUCUUCCAUGGUCUUUUUCAAAUUAGAAACCAUGGACCCUAAUUUCCUUGAAUUUUUCAAACUUCACUCUUUCAUAACACUUCUUUGAAUUUGAACUUUAAGCAUACCUUUGAUUGCAUAUAUUUUGUGAAACUACUUAAUCAAUUACAUUCUCUCACUACAUCUCGAUAUUGUUUGUCGGUCCUUUCGCCACUGUUAACAUGUUUUCACACCUUAGCCGUUAUGGUUUCAAUUACCAUCAGUGGUUGAUGUAAAUCUUACUUAUCCUAGUGAGUUGAUUGGAAGUCUUCCAUGACCUAUCUAUAGGGUUNUUUUGUCAGAUCACAUGACAUUUUCGUGACUUGGGUAGCAGUGAUGUGUUGCUAGAUACCGCUCACUGUUUAUUAUGUUAAAUGCGUGAUUUAAUAUAAUUGCCAACGUCGCGAAAACCUACAGGGUCACACACAAAGGACGGAUUGAUGAGAUAUAGAGUAAUUAAGGAACACCGUAAGGUACGGUGCGCUUAAGUAGAAUACGAAGUAUGGUAAUGUACCAAAUACUUAAGUGAUUUUGGCAUAUUAUGAGAUAUGGGCCAAAAUACCCUUAAGUGGGCUUUUUGGCUUGAAGCCCACACAAGUGGUUCUAUAAAUAGAUCUCUUGUACAGAAGCAUUGUAUGGGAAUACAACACGACUGAAGAGUUGGAAUUUCAUAUCUCUCUUUCUCUCACUCAAAGCCUUCAUUCGUACCAGCUAGCACUGAGAUUGAAGGAAUCCGUUCGUGUGGACUGAGUAGAGAUGUUGUCAUCGUUCAACGUUCGUGAUCACUCCGUGGAUCUGUAUCAAAGGUUUUGAUCAUUAUCAGAGAUCUGCACCAAAGGUUUAAAUCGCCACAAGAGGUAACGAUUCUAUCAUUGAUCAUGCCCAUUCGUAAGGAUCACUAAAUGGAGAAAUUUUUAAAUUCUGCUGCGCCUUGGAUGGCAAUUCUCCUUCAACCACUUGGCACAUCAACCAACUGAAGAUUAUCAAUCUGUUCAGUACGACUUCCCUGAUGAGGAGAUUCUGUACUUGAAGAUGAAAGAUUGCGAUGAGCCUACGCUCGAUGAAGGGCCAGAGCCUGGUUCCCGAUGGGGUAUGGUGUUCGAUGGUGCUGUUAAUCAGUAUGGAAAUGGUAUUGGGGCAGUGAUUAUUACUCCUCAGGGCACACAUUUUCCUUUUACAGCAAGGCUAACUUUCAAAUGCACGAAUAAUAUGGCGGAGUAUGAGGCCUGUAUUAUGGGUUUGGAAGAGUGUAUUGAUCUUAGGAUCAAACAUCUUGAUGUUUAUGGUGAUUCGGCCCUUGUUGUUAAUCAGAUUAAAGGUGAAUGUGAGACGAAUCAACCUGGCCUCAUCCCAUAUAGAGAUUAUGCGAGGAGGAUUUCAACUUUCUUUACUAAGGUUGAAUUUCAUCAUAUUCCUCGAGAUGAGAAUCAGAUGGCAGAUGCUCUUGCUACUCUUGCUUCAAUGAUUGUGGUGAAGUAUUGGAAUGAAGUUCCUAAUAUCACUGCGAUGCGCUUGGAUAGGCCAACUCAUGUAUUUGUAGUUGAAGAAGUGAAAGAUGGUAAGCCAUGGUAUUAUGAUAUCAAUUGCUUUUUCCAAAGUCAGACUUACCCGCCUGGGGCAUCUGUUAAAGAUAAGAAGACUUUGAGAAGAUUAUCAGGAAGUUUCUACCUCAAUGGUGAUGUGCUUUAUAAGAGAAAUUUCGACAUGGUUCUGCUCAGAUGCGUGGAUAGACACGAAGCAGACCUGUUCAUGCCUGAAGUCCAUGAGGGUUCGUUUGGUACUCAUUCCAAUGGACAUGCUAUAGCUAAAAAAAUGUUGAGAGCAGGCUACUAUUGGCUGCCAAUGGAGUCUGACUGCUGCAAAUAUGUGAAGAAAUGCCACAAGUGUCAGAUUUAUACGGAUAAGAUUCAUAUUCCCCCGACACUUCUGAAUGUUAUUUCCUCACCAUGGCCUUUCUCCAUGUGGGGUCACAAGUGUCAGAUUUAUACGGAUAAGAUUCAUAUUCCCCCGACACUUCUGAAUGUUAUUUCCUCACCAUGGCCUUUCUCCAUGUGGGGAAUUGACAUGAUUGGCAUGAUUGAACCAAAGGCGUCAAGCGAUCACCGUUUUAUUCUCGUAGCUAUUGAUUACUUCACCAAGUGGGUUGAAGCAACAUCAUAUGCAAAUGUGACCAAGCAGGUGGUUGUGAAGUUUAUCAAGAAUCAACUCAUAUGCCGAUAUGGUGUGCCCAACAAGAUCAUUACUAAUAAUGGAUCUAACUUGAACAACAAAAUGAUGAAAGAGUUGUGUAGCGAGUUCAUGAUUGCGCAUCAUAAUUCUUCUCCCUACAGACCCAAGAUGAAUGGGGUUGUUGAAGCUGCUAAUAAGAACUUCAAGAAGAUUAUCCAGAAGAUGGUUGUUACGUAUAAAGAUUGGCAUGAGAUUUUUCCAUUUGCUUUGCAUGGAUAUCGUACGUCUGUCCGCACUUCAACAGGGGCAACCCCGUUCUCUCUUGUGUACGGCAUGGAGGUUGUGCUCCUCGUGAAGGUUGAGAUCCCAUCAAUGAGAGUCUUGAUGGAAGCCAAGUUGACUGAGGCUGAAUGGGUUCAGAGUCGUUAUGACAAACUGAACUUGAUUAAAGAGAAGAGAUUAACUGCCAUGUGCCAUGGUCAGUUAUAUCAGCAAAGGAUGAAGAAAGCCUUUGAUAAGAAGUUCAAGCUUUGUAUGCUCCGAGUGAAGGAGAAGAGUGAUCCAAAAUGCAGCGGAAUUUAAAAUUUCUCCUUUAAUGAUCCUUACGAAUGGGCAUGAUCAGUGAUAGAAUCGUUACCUCUUGUGGCGAUUAUAACCUUUGAUGCAGAUCUACAGAGCGAUCACGAACGUUGAACAAUGACAAUGCCUCUACUCAGUCCACAUGAAUGGAUUCCUUCAAUCUCAGUGCUAGCUGCUACAAAUGAAGGCUUUGAGUGAGAGAGAGAGAGAGAGAGAGAGAGAGAAACGAAAUUGCAACUGUAACAAUGCUUCUACAUAAGGGUUCUAUUUAUAGAACCACUUGCGUGGGCUGCAAGCUAAAAAUCCCACUCAAGUGUAUAUGGCCCAUAUCUUAUAAUAUGCCAAAAUCACUUAAGCGCGUGGUACCUUACCAUAUUUCGUAUUCUACUUAAGUACAACGUACCUUACGAUGUUCUAUAAUUCACUUAAGGGCACCGAACAUUACGGUAUUCCUUAAUUACUCUAUUUCUCAUCAAUCCGUCCUUUGUGUGUGACCCUAUAGGUUUUCGCGGCAUUGACAAUUAUAUUAAAUCAUGUAUUUAACAUAAUAAACAGUGAGCGGUAUCUAGCAACACAUCACUGCUACCCAAGUCACGAAAAUGUCAUGUGAUCUGACAAAACCUCCUGUGAUAAUAAUUAUGUGUAUAAUUACCCCUUUGCCCUUAUGUCUAUAUUGAACACAAGGUAUAGACCGUGUCACCCUUGUCCAGUUCAAUAUUGGGCCCAUAGACAUUUAUCCUGUUACGCAGGAUGGGCAAAUUCCAUCUAGGACACUCAUGUCCCUCAGCAUGCUUCGUGGAGUACCCAUCAACUGUCUUUAUGGUUAUCCAGUUACGGACAACGUUGGAUCAGCAAUAAAGCACUCGACUCUACAUCUAGGAUCCAUAGUGGUUUCAGGUCGAAGAGUGGUAUACACUAUUAUCACCAUGAGAAUAACUUAUGACACUUUGCAUAACUUUCUAUAUAGUAUUCUCAUAGCGGGUCAAUCCGGUAUAAAUAUUACUCCUAAUAUUCAUACCUAUGUUUAAGACUUGAUAACUCUUUAUCCAUGAUCCAUGAGAUGUGAUCAUCAGUCUACAAACAUAAUAGUCUUAAUGCUUUAAUGUUAUCCCACUUCACACUAAAGCUCGACUACGGAUACUUUAAGAAUAGUGUCCUUAUGUUUAAUGUGUUCUCAUGAUUAAGUCACACUUAAUACAUUAAACGGACUAUCUAUUCCAGGGACUUUAUUAAUCAACCAUAAUAAAGAAAAUGCCUUUUAUUAUUAAUAAAUAAUUCGAUACAAGUACCAAAAGUAUUGGCCUCUAGGGCUUACACCAACAAUCUCCCACUAGCACUAGAGCCAAUCAGGCAUACCCCUAAUGCCCAUAGAUCUAGUAUGGCCAUCAUGCUUCUGCUGCGCAAGAGGCUUUGUAAGUGGAUCAAGAAUAUUGUCAAGUGUAGGUACUCUGCAUAUUUUCACAUCUCCUUUAUCUAUUAUCUCUCGAAUGAGGUGAUAACACCUAAGUAUGUGUUUGGAUCGUUGGUGAGAUCUAGGCUCCUUAGCUUAUGCGAUAGCCCCAUUGUUAUCACUAUAGAGACCAAUGGGAUCCAAUGCUAGGAACUAUGCCAAGUUCACUAAUGAACUUUUUGAUCCAAACAGCUUCCUUUGUUGCACUUGAGGCAGUAAUAUACUCGGCCUCGGUUGUAGAAUCAGCAAAUGUAUCUUGCUUUGAACUUUUCCAGCUCACAGCGCCACCGUUUAAGCAAAACACAUAACCAGAUUGCGAUCUAAAGUCAUCUUUAUCUGUCUGGAAGCUAGCAUUGGUGUAUCCAAUUACAACCAACUCUUCCUGACCUCCAUAUAUCAAGAAUGAGUCCUUAGUCCUUCUCAAAUACUUAAGGAUAUUCUUGACAGCUACCCAAUGGGCAUCACUAGGAUCAAAUUGGUACCUACUCGCUGCACUUAAAGCAUGCGAGACAUCUGGUCGAGUACAUAACAUGGAAUACAUGAUAGAUCCUAUUAUAGAUGCAUAUGGAAUCUUAUUAAUGUGAUCCCUUUCUUCCUUAGUUGAAGGGGAUUGUGUUUUUUAUAGACAUAGGCCAUGUUGCAUAGGUAUGAAUCCUUUCUUGGAAUCAUGCAUAUUAAAGCGUCUCAGCACUUUGUCUAUGUACGUACUCUGACUUAGGCCAAGCAAUUUUUAUGAUCUAUCUCUAUAGAUUCUGAUUCCUAAUAUAUAGGCUGCUUCACCUAGGUCCUUCAUAGAAAAGCAUUUCCCCAACCAAGACUUUACUUGUUGCAGGGUAGGGACAUCGUUUCCAAUGAGUAAUAUGUCAUCUACAUAUAAUACCAGGAAAACGAUCAUGCUCCCACUAACCUUCUUGUAGACACAAGGCUCAUCUUCGUUCUUGAUGAAUCCAUAUUGUUUUACCGUUUCAUCAAAACGAAGAUUCCAGCUUCUGGAAGCUUGCUUCAAUCCAUAGAUUGAUCUUUGUAACUUACAUAUCUUUUGGGCUUCUUCUGGUAUGUCAAAUCCUUCAGGUUGUGUCAUGUACACAUCCUCAAGAAGAUUCCCAUUAAGGAAAGCAGUUUUGACAUCCAUCUGCCAUAUUUCAUAAUCAUGAUAUGCAGCGAUAGCAAGUAAAAUCCGAACAGAUUUAAGCAUUGCAACUGGUGAAAAGGUUUCAUCAUAGUCAACCCCAUGAAUUUGUUUAUAUCCUUUUGCAACCAGUCUUGCCUUAUAGGUAUGUACCUUACCAUCCAUGUCAGUCUUCUUUUUGAAGACCCACUUGCAUCCUAUAGGGUUAACUCCUACAGGAGGCUCUACCAAGGUCCAAACUUGGUUUGUGUACAUGGAAUCCAUUUCAGAUUUCAUGGCUUCUAGCCACUUCUCAGACUCGGGACCAGUUAUGGCCUCUUGGUAGGUCACAGGCUCAUCUUGAUCCAUGAGUAAUACAUCACCUUGAUCAGUUAUGAGAUAUCCAUAUCUCUCAGGUAGGUGACGUAUCCUGCUUGACCUACGCUGGUCUUGUUCUACUUGAGCAGGUUGCUCUUCCACAACUACUUGUGUUUCCUGCUCUAAUUCCUCCAUAGGUGUAUCUAUGCUUUGUGAUUCUUGAAUUUCUUCAAGCUCUACUUUCCUCCCACUGAUUCCUUUGGAAAUAAAAUCCUUUUCUAGGAAAACUCCAGUUCGAGCGACAAACACUUUGCCCUCAGAAGGAUUGUAGAAGUAAUACCCUCUUGUUUCUUUAGGAUACCCCACAAAUAAGCAUUUGUCAGAUUUGGGCUCAAGCUUAGUUGAAAUUUGUCGUUUCACAUAAACUUCGCAACCCCAAAUCUUCAUGUAAGACAUAUGUGGUUUCUUACCACUCCAUAUCUCAUAUGGUGUCUUCUCAACCUUUUUGGAUGGAACACGGUUAAGUGUGUAAGCUGCUGUCAAUAGUGCAUGUCCCCAAAAGGAGUUUGGAAGAUCGGCGUGACUCAUCAUGGAUCGGACCAUGUCUAACAGGGUUCGAUUUCUUCUCUCAGAUACACCAUUCCAUUGGGGUGUUCCAGGAGGAGUAAGUUGGGAUAGGAUCCCACACUCUUUCAGAUGGUCAUCAAACUCUAGGCUUAAAUACUCACCACCUCGAUCUGAUCGAAGAGUUUUAAUAUUCUUACCUAGUUGGUUUUGUACUUCAUUCUUGAAUUCCUUGAACUUUUCAAAGGACUCUGAUUUGUGUUUCAUUAAAUACACAUAACCAUAUCUACUGAAAUCAUCAGUAAAUGUGAUGAAGUACUGAAAACCUCCUCUGGCUGGUAUGUUCAGUGGUCCACAUACAUCAGUAUGUAUGAGGGCCAAAAGAUCAUUAGCUCUUUCACCUUUUCCUGUGAAUGGAGACUUUGUCAUCUUUCCAAUUAAACAAGAUCUGCAUGUCUCAUAUGAUUCAUAAUCAAAAGAGUCCAAGAGUCCAUCUUUAUGGAGUUUGGAAAUGCGUUUCUCAUUUAUGUGGCCUAAUCGACAAUGCCAAAGGUAAGUUGGAUUUAACUCAUUAGGUUUCAUCCUUUUAGUAUUAAUGUUAUAUAUAGGCAUUUCAAGAUCAAGGACAUACAGUCCAUUGCUCAUUUGUGCAGUAGCAUAGAAUAUAUCAUUCAAAUAAAUUGAGCAACAAUUGUUCUUUAUUAUAAAUGAAAAACCAAACUUGUCCAAACAAGAAACGGAAAUAAUAUUCCUGCUAAUUGCAGGUACAUAAUAACAGUUCUCUAACUGAAUUAUUAAACCACUAGGUAAAGUCAAUACAUAAGUUCCUACGGCUAAAGCAGCAACCUUUGCUCCAUUGCCAACUCGUAGGUCGACUUCACCUUUUGCCAAAUCUAUACUCCUUCUUAGUCCCUGCACAUUGGUACAAAUGUGAGAACCGCAUCCAGUAUCUAAUACCCAUGAUGCCGAAGUAGAUAAAUUAAUUUCAAUAACAAAAAUACCUGAAGUCGAAGUCUCUACUCCAUUCUUCUUAUCUUCCAUGUACUUUUGGCAGUUUCUCUUCCAGUGUCCGGUCUUACCGCAAUGGAAGUAGGUGCCUUCUUUUUCUAUGCCUCCACUAGGCUUCAAAGCAGCAACAGUGGGUUUGGGCUUGGCAACUUCCUUGCCUUUCCCUUUAUCACCCUGCUUGGUGGGCCUUUUGUUAUAUCUCUUUCCAUUUCCGAUCAUCAGAAUGCACUUCCCUUUUGACUUUAGAUUCUGCUCAUCAGUUCUUAACAUGGCUAGCAGUUCAGGAAGAGAUUUGUCCAUAUCAUUCAUAUUGAAAUUUAGAACAAAUUGACUGAAUCUAUUUGGCAACGAUUGCAAGAUUAAAUCAGUCACAAGUUCCUUUCCGAGGGGAAAACCCAACCUCUCAAGGUUUUCCACAUACCCAAUCAUCUUGAGAACAUGGGGACCUACAGGGGCUCCCUCAGCUAACUUGCCUUGAAAAAGGGCUUUUGAAAUUUCAAACCUUUCAUGCCUUGCUUUCUCUUGAUAGAGCAUCUUGAGGUGUUUGAUCAUAUCGAAUGCUGCCAUGUUCUCGUGUUGCUUUUGCAACCCUGAGUUCAUGGUAGCUAGCAUGAGACAAGCAGUUUCAUUAGCAUCAUCGACAUGCUUCUUAUAAGCAUCUCUUUCUGCCUUAGGUGCAAGGAGGUUCCUCUUCAGGAACAGGUAUCUCCAAGACAUACAACUUUCUAUCAUGUUUGAGGAUAAUCCUCAGAUUUCGGUGCCAAUCUAGAAAAUUCGUCCCAGACAAUUUUUCCUUGUCAAGGAUUGAUCGUAAAAUGUUGUUAGAGGUGUUUGUUGUCAUGGUAAUCUACAUGAAAAUAAUGAAAAUAUAAGUAUCAAUAACAUAUUUAAUUAGGCCUUUAAACCUGGAAGAUCUUGCUUGUGAUAAGCUUAGAUCGUAUUAGGUGCUUAGGUCUCUCUCUGGCUUGGAGAACAAUUGCGUAGGGGCCAUAACUGUUCAUUAUGGUAUGUUGAUGCAUGGAUGUAUGCUUGAUGCAUGUUGAGAGACAUUAUAUAUAAAUAACAGUGGGAUCAGUAAUAAUUGCAAUUCCCUCAAAUAAAUAUUAAGUUUAUGUUUUCCAAGUUUAACACUCAUCAAGAUCAGUACGGAUAAUGUAGGUCGCCUACGCGAGGUGCAUGUCUAUAUUAGUAAGGUGCGAUGGGAUAAUUGUAAUAUCAAUGUUAAAUUGGGUCAAACUAACUAAACAAAUUAUACAUAGGUAUAUAUGUUUAGAAGCAAGAGUUGGAAAUGAUCCAUGUGAUGGAUUGGAAUAAGGAGUUAUUCACCAACUAAAAUAUUCGAGAGUUGUAUUAGAUACAAUUGGAAGGAGUUCCUACCUAAAUAACCUAGUUUUGUGUAAUCCGCCUACGCGGACUUAAAACAAAGUGAAAUGUGGAUCUCGACCCACUAGAAAAUCUUCNNNNNNNNNNNNNNNNNNNNNNNNNNNNNNNNNNNNNNNNNNNNNNNNNNNNNNNNNNNNNNNNNNNNNNNNNNNNNNNNNNNNNNNNNNNNNNNNNNNNNNNNNNNNNNNNNNNNNNNNNNNNNNNNNNNNNNNNNNNNNNNNNNNNNNNNNNNNNNNNNNNNNNNNNNNNNNNNNNNNNNNNNNNNNNNNNNNNNNNNNNNNNNNNNNNNNNNNNNNNNNNNNNNNNNNNNNNNNNNNNNNNNNNNNNNNNNNNNNNNNNNNNNNNNNNNNNNNNNNNNNNNNNNNNNNNNNNNNNNNNNNNNNNNNNNNNNNNNNNNNNNNNNNNNNNNNNNNNNNNNNNNNNNNNNNNNNNNNNNNNNNNNNNNNNNNNNNNNNNNNNNNNNNNNNNNNNNNNNNNNNNNNNNNNNNNNNNNNNNNNNNNNNNNNNNNNNNNNNNNNNNNNNNNNNNNNNNNNNNNNNNNNNNNNNNNNNNNNNNNNNNNNNNNNNNNNNNNNNNNNNNNNNNNNNNNNNNNNNNNNNNNNNNNNNNNNNNNNNNNNNNNNNNNNNNNNNNNNNNNNNNNNNNNNNNNNNNNNNNNNNNNNNNNNNNNNNNNNNNNNNNNNNNNNNNNNNNNNNNNNNNNNNNNNNNNNNNNNNNNNNNNNNNNNNNNNNNNNNNNNNNNNNNNNNNNNNNNNNNNNNNNNNNNNNNNNNNNNNNNNNNNNNNNNNNNNNNNNNNNNNNNNNNNNNNNNNNNNNNNNNNNNNNNNNNNNNNNNNNNNNNNNNNNNNNNNNNNNNNNNNNNNNNNNNNNNNNNNNNNNNNNNNNNNNNNNNNNNNNNNNNNNNNNNNNNNNNNNNNNNNNNNNNNNNNNNNNNNNNNNNNNNNNNNNNNNNNNNNNNNNNNNNNNNNNNNNNNNNNNNNNNNNNNNNNNNNNNNNNNNNNNNNNNNNNNNNNNNNNNNNNNNNNNNNNNNNNNNNNNNNNNNNNNNNNNNNNNNNNNNNNNNNNNNNNNNNNNNNNNNNNNNNNNNNNNNNNNNNNNNNNNNNNNNNNNNNNNNNNNNNNNNNNNNNNNNNNNNNNNNNNNNNNNNNNNNNNNNNNNNNNNNNNNNNNNNNNNNNNNNNNNNNNUAAAACUUGGAAAGCAUAAACUUAAUAUUUAAUUUGAGGGAAUUUGCAAUUAUUCUGAUCUCACCGGCUUAUUUAUCAUAUAAAUCGUCUCUCACAUGCAUCAACAUACAUUCACAUGCAUCAACAUACAUACAUAAUGAAACAGUUAUGGCCCCUAGCGCAAUUGUUCUCCCAAGCCAAUGAGAGAACCUAAGCUAACCUAAUAACGAUCUAAGCUUCUCCAAGCAAGAUCUUCAAGGUUGUCCUCCUUUGAUAUUGAAUUCUUCUCUUUCUUCAUAACAUUACAUUACAUAAAAGAAACUCGCUUUACAUACGAGGGAGUGAGAUGAGAAAAGAAGUUACAUUAAGAGAUUAAAAGAGAGGCACGAGACGUAGGUCGUAUUUUAAAACCCAAAACAAAAUAAAGGAAAACUAAGGCCAUAACCGAUCACCAUAAGACAAUAAUAAAAACACAUUAUUAUUAUUAAUUUUAAUUCUUUUAAUUAAUUAAAACCAAAUUAAAUUUCGGCGACCGAUCACACUACGCAGAGUUAGCCGGGGGUCCGCUACCCGGUUAGCGGGAACAAUUCAUUGCGGGGUUAAAGGGGCAGCGCCCCUGGCCGAAAUUUUUAAUGAACAAUUCAUUUGAAAUCGGCGUCGUUUUUCGCAUCAACACUUGAUACUUUAAAGCAUAACUAUUGCAUAGUCACAACCCUAAUCGCAUAACUCUUUGACAACACAACCCUUGUGCCGUCAUUAACCCUAAUGCAUAACUCUUUGACAACACAACCCUUGUGCCGUCAUUAACCCUAAUGCACUAAUUUCAAACCGUCAAACACAUCUCGAUUGUUGAUUCAGUCUGAUUGAUCAACACGUCAUUGCUUCACCAUACUAAUGUCAGAUCAAGAAGCAAACGACCAUUGAUCGCUCAAAGGAAAACAACCAUUAAGUGUUUGAAUGAAUGAAACAGAAACAGUAUAUCAUAUAUAUCGUAUUUUGCAUCAGGAUUACUUAUACCAUAUAUAUAACUUGAUCGAUCUUAAUUUAAUUACUCGUUUAUUCUUUGAUUCAUUCUGUCUUUUAAUCGUAUUAAUACAGAAAAUACAGAAAAUAAACAGCUAUUAGAUGCAUGGUUUCGUAAGUGGCUCUGAUACCACUGAAGGAGAAGCGCGAUCCAAAACGCAGCAGAAUUUAAAAUUUCUCCUUUAAUGAUCCUUACGAAUGGGCAUGAUAAGUGAUAUAAUCGUUACCUCUUGUGGCGAUUAUAACCUUUGAUGCAGAUCUACAGAGCGAUCGUGAAUGUUGAACAAUGACAACGCCUCUACUCAGUCCACACGAACGGAUUCCUUCAAUCUCAGUGCUAACUGCUACGAAUGAAGGCUUUGAGUGUGUGUGUGUGAGAGAGAGAGAGAGAGAAAGAAAGAGAGAGAGAGAGAGAGAGAGAGAGAGAGAGAGAGAGAGAAACAAAAUUUCAACUGUAACAACACUUCUACACAAGGGUUCUAUUUAUAGAACCACUUGCGUGGGCUGCAAGCUAAAAAGCCCACUCAAGUGUAUAAGGCCCAUAUCUUAUAAUAUGCCAAAAUCACUUAAGCGCGUGGUACCUUACCAUAUUUCGUAUUCUACUUAACUACACCGUACCUUACGAUGUUCUAUAAUUCACUUAAGGGCACCGUACAUUACGGUAUUCCUUAAUUACUCUAUCUCUUAUCAAUCCGUCCUUUGUGUGUGACCCUAUAGGUUUUCGCGGUGUUGACAAUUAUAUUAAAUCACGUAUUUAACAUAAUAAACAGUGAGCGGUAUCUAGAAACACAUCACUGCUACCCAAGACACGAAAAUGUCAUGUGAUCUGACAAAUCCUUAUGUGAUAAUAAUUAUGUGUAUAAUUACCCUUUUGUCCUUAUGUCUAUAUUGAACACAAGGCAUAGACCGUGCCAUCCUUGUCCAGUUCAAUAUUGGGCCCAUAUACAUUUAUCCUGUUACGCAGGAUGGGCAAAUUCCAUCUAGGUCACUCAUGUCCCUUAGCAUGCUUCGUGGAGUACCCAUCAACUGUCUUUAUGGUCAUCCAAUUACGGACAAUGUUUGAUCAGCAAUACGUUUAAUGUAUCAAGUAUGACUUAAUCAUUGAGAUUACAUUAAUAUAAGGACACUAUUCUUAAAGUAUCCGUAGUCAAGCUUUAUUGUGAAGUGGAUAAUAUUAAGCAUGAAGACUAUUAUGUUUAUGGACUGAUGAUCACAUCUCAUGGGAUCAUGGAUAAGAGUUUCAAGUCUUAACAUAGGUAUGAAUAUUAAGAGUAAUAAUUUAUACUGGAUUGACCCGCUAUGAGAAUACUAUAUAGAAUGUAUAUGCAAAGUGUCAUAAGUUAUUCUCAUGGUGAUAAUGGUGUAUACCACCUUCGACCUGAAACCACUAUGGACCCUAGAUGUAGAAGUCGGCCUUAUUGCUGAUCAAACAUUGUCCGUAAUUGGAUGACCAUAAAGACAGGUGAUGGGUACUCCCACGAAGCAUGCUAAGGGCAUGAGUGACCUAGAUGGAAUUUGCCCAUCCUGCGUAACAGGAUAAAUGUAUAUGGCCCAAUAUUGAACUGGACAAGGAUGCACGGUCUAUUGCCUUGUGAUUCAUAUAGACUAAGGACAAAGGGUAAUUAUACACAUAUAUAUCACAUAGGAUUUGUCAGAUCACAUGACAUUUUCGUGUCUUGGGUAGCAGUGAUGUGUUCUAGAUACCGCUCACUGUUUAUUAUGUUAAAGUGAUUUAAUAUAAUUGUUACACGCGAAAACUAUAGGUCACACACAAAGGACGGAUUGAUAAGAGAUAGAGUAAUUAAGAUACCGUAAUGUACGGUGCCCUUAAGUGAAUUAUAGAACAUCGUAAGGUACGUGUAGUAAGUAGAUACGAAUAUGUAAGGUACACGCGCUUAAGAUGUUUUGGCAUAUUAUAAGAUAUGGGCCUUAUACACUUGAGUGGGCUUUUUAGCUUGCAGCCCACGCAAGUGGUUCUAUAAAUAAGAACCCUUGUGUAGAAGUGUUGUUAAAGUUGAAAUUUUGUUUCUCUCUUCUCUCUCUCUCUCUCUCUUCUCUUCUCUUUCUUUCUCUCCUCUCUUCACACACACAACUCAAAAGCCUUCAUUCGUAGCGUUAGCACUGAGAUUGAAGGAAUCGUUCGUGUGGACUGGUAGAGGCGUUGUCAUUGUUCAACAUUCACGUCUGCUCUGUAGACUGCAUCAAAGGUUUAAUCGCCACAGAGGUAACGAUUAUAUCACUUAUCAUGCCAUUCGUAAGGAUCAUAAGGAGAAUUUUAAUUCUGCUGCGUUUGGAUCGCGUUCUCCUUCAGUGGUACAGAGCCACUUACGAAACCAUGCAUCUAAAGCUGUUAUUUUCGUAUUUUCUGUAUAAUACGAUUAAAAGACAGAAUGAAUCAAAGAUAAUACGAGUAAUAAAUUAAGAUCGAUCAAGUUUAUAUAUGGAUAAGUAAUCUGAUGCAAAUACGAUAUAUAUGAUAUACUGUUUUGUUUUCAUUCAUUCAAACACUUAUGGUUGUUUCCUUUGAGCGAUCAAUGGUCGUUGCUUCUGGAUCUGACAUUAGUAUGGUAAGCAAUGCGUGUUGUCAAUCAACUGAAUCAACAAUCGAGAUGUGUUUGACGGUUUGGAAAUUAUGCAUUAGGUUAAUGACGGCACAAGGGUUGUUGGCAAGAGUUAUGCAUUAGGGUUAAUGACGGCACAAGGGUUGUGUUGUCAAAGGUUAUGCGAUUAGGCUGUGACUAUGCAAAGUUUGCUUUAAAAGUAUCAAGUGUUCAUGCGGAAAAACGACGCGAUUUCAAAUGAAUUGUUCAUUAAAAAUUUCGGCCAGGGGCGCCUGCCCCUUUAACCCCGCAAUGAAUGUUCCGCAACCGGGUAGCGGACCCCGGCUAACUCUGCGUAGGUGUGAGUCCGCGCGAACUUAAUUUGGUUUAUUAAUUAAAAGAAUUAAAAUUAAUAAUAAUAAUGUUUUAUUAUUGCUUAUGGUGAUCGGUUAUUGGCCUGUUUUCCUUUUUUGUUUGGGUUUAAAUCGACCUACGUCUCGUGCCUCUCUUUUAAUCUCUUAAUGUAACUUCUUUCUCAUCUCACUCCCUGCUAUGUAAAGCGAGUUUCUUUUGUAUGUAAUUUAUGAAGAAAGAGAAGAUUCAAUAUCAAGUGAGGACAACCUGAAGAUCUUGCUUGGAAAGUUAGAUCGUAUUAGGUAGCUUAGGUUCUCUCUGGCUUGGAGAACAAUUGCGAUAAGGGGCCAUAACUGUUCAUUAUGGUAUGUUGAUGCAUGGAUGUAUGCUUGAUGCAUGCUGAGAGACAUUGUAUAUAAAUAACAGUGGGAUCAGUAAUAAUUGCAAUUCCCUCAAAUAAAUAUUAAGUUUAUGUUUUCCAAGUUUAACACUCAUCAAGAUAGUACGGAUAAUGUAGGUCGCCUACGCGAGGUGCAUGUCUAUAUUAGUAAGGUGCGAUGGGAUAAUUGUAAUAUCAAUGUUAAAUUGGGUCAAACUAACUAAACAAAUUAUAAUAGGUAUAUAUGUUUAGAAGCAAGAGUUGGAAAUGAUCCAUGUGAUGGAUUGGAAUAAGGAGUUAUUCACCAACUAAANCAUGAUUAAGUCAUACUUGAUACAUUAAACGGACUAGCUAUUCUAGGGACUUUAUUAAACAAACAUAAUAAAGAAAAAGCCUUUUAUUAUUAAUAAAUAAUUCGAUACAAGUACCAAAAGUAUUGGCCUCUAGGGCUUACACCAACACCGAGAAGGUGACCUCGUGCUUAAGAAAGUUUUGUCUUUCGCGCCCGAUUCCAUGGGCAAGUGGACUCUAAACUAUGAAGGACCAUAUGUUAUUAAUAGAGCCUUUUCAGGCGAUGCUUUGAUACUCACAACUAUGGAUGGGGAGGAUUUCACUCGUCCUGUGAAUUCAGAUGCAGUCAAGAAAUACUUCGCCUAAAUAUAAGAAAAACAGAAUAGCUCGCUAAGUUGAAAACCCGAAAGGGCGGCUUAGGAAAAAAUGAGCGUCUCGGUGGAUUGAAAACCCGAAAGGGCAGUCCAGGCAAAAGUUAGAGACAUAAAAAAAAUGAAUAUACAUCCCGCUAGAUUGAGUACCUCACCCUGGGGCAAUCUAGGCAAAAAUUAUGGAUUUGACAAGUAACUGCAUCCUGACAAGACGUUGUUUUUCAACUGUCAUAUGUCAAAGAUUCUCGCUCAGUCGUCGUCAACUGAAGUUUCAAAUACAUUGGAUUCAGAGUUGGUGGAGAAAUGGUCAUUAUGUUCAAUGUAGCCCUUUUUCCAAUAUAUAUCACCAAUUUCAAAUUUGUAAAAAUCUAUGGAGUCUCGCCAUUUGCGGACUACCAUUCUAUCAAAUAAAUUUGAGCCUUUAUCCAUUUUUUUUGCACUCUUAUUUGUUUAUGCUCAACAAAUGUUUGCAUGUUUUAAUUGAUAAAUAUCAUUGUUUCAAACAAAUAAAGUUUUUAUAAAUUGUUUUGAACAAAGUGAACAUUCACAAUGACUGAAAGGAUAAAUGGAAUGUCUUCAGUGCUCUCCCAAUGAUAGUAUGAUCUCCAAAGGGUAAGACAUUUGUUCAUAUUCUGGCAUGUUUGUAUCCUUUUCAUAGUCUUUCAGGUUGUCUCCCCAACGAGCGCAGAAAAAAUAAAACAUCCUCAACUCCCCAGAGAGCCUGGAGUUUUGGCCUCGAUCUUUUAGAGACGUGUAUACCUCUAUAUCAGGCACUAGCAUUUGUGUUUUAUCAAUUAUAUGGUUGUCAUCCCUUAUGUGGACUGACCUAAAAUCCCUUAUAGAUUGAUAAAAGUUGAUAUGCUAUUCAUGAGGAAGUUUGUCUUUCCCCAGUGAGCAAAAAUUCCCCGCAUGAGUAGAAGUCCUCAACGAAGUAAGCAUGUGUUCCCUGCUAAGCUAUCUUUCAGAUAUCUCCUCAGCAGUAGUUGCCUAGAGCAGUUGGUGAAGGGUUUGUUCCCUUUUCAUCCCUAGCAUGGCACGUGUUGACGUAGGAUUCGUUUCCGAUUCCCUCAACCAGGACAGUUCCUCCGGAGGUACUUGUAGUUAUCCCCAAUAGAGUUGCUUGCAGCAGACUAUCACCAGUAUGAUCGCCUAUAGUCCCUUCCUAGUGGAGUUGCAUGAUCCUAGCUUGACAUUUGUAUCCCCUCUGUGGUUGAAAAUUUCUUCUAGUAUUGGACGACGAUGAGAAAGAUGUGUUAUUUCCUUCCCCAGCGGAGCCAAUGGUUCUCUCUCUCCCCUAGCAGAGAUGUCCCUCCAGCAGUUAAAAGGGAGUGUUUGAUUGAUGUGUAUCUGUUUGGUGGUUGUUCCCCACAGAAUCUCACAUUAUCCCCUGAUAAGAUCCCCAGUAGAGUUCUUCUAUGACAAAUCUUAUUGAUAUCUCGGCAUGUUCCCCAGCCGAGACUUUGCCUGUCCCUAGCAGUGGUCCAUGACUCUUGGUAGUUGAUGUAUCCCCACCAGAAUUGAUUUUUCCUGUGGGCCCGACCUUUCUCUUUUGAUGUUAUACCGGAUGUCUGUCCAUUGAUUCUCGGACCUGUUUAUGUUAGAUAUAUCUGUUUGUCAGCAUUAAUCAUACAUAAACCACGCAUAUACAUGCAUAAUUAUGGCAUUCAGAUAUUCAUGUUGCAUUCUUUUCCAUAUAUCUUUGCUUGCUAUCUCCUUCUAUUAGUGAAACAUUUUUCCCCAAGCAGAUGUAUGUGUCUGAUCUCUCCAUAUAGAGUCAGCCCCAUAGGCAGAAAGUGUCUAUCUUUCUUUCCAUAUUCCCCACUGAGUUAUGUCAUCGUGGAUGAUUAUUGUUUCAAUUUCCUCCAUCAUGUUUGGAUUUUCCAUGUGGGACUUUUGAAGAGCUCAAUGUUUAGGUUCAAUUAUGCAAUUCACAUCAUAACUUCAUGCACAAGCUAAUGCGACUCCAAUUACAUAUUUUAAAAUUUUCUUGCCAAUGUGGCAAAAAUUUUCUUGAAAAAUCUAGUUUCAUAUUUUAAAUUUUAAUUAUUUUUAUGACUUCAUUUAAUAUCUUUUGUGAAUUAUUUGGUUUUUAAUAGUUUUUAAUUCAUUUUAAAUACUUUUUGAUAUCUGAAAAUUCCCAAAAAAUAUUUUCUUAACACAUAUGGAUCAUGAUGAGUCAAUGAAAAAUAGUCUCAUCAAUUUCUUAAUUGAUUUGAGAUUUAUUUGAGAUUUUAAUUCAUAAUGUGUUAUUUUUAAUUGAUUUUAAAUAGUUUCUGAUUUCAAAAAUUGUUGAAAUUUUUUGUCAAACCUUGUUUGACCAUGUUAGACCUAUGAGAAUUUAAUUGGACUUGUUUAAGUUGAUUUGAAUUGAAUUUGAGGUUUGACCAUAUCUUGUCCUUUUUUAAUUUUGCAUUUAUUUUAAUUCCAAAAAAUACCAAAAAAAAAAUGUUUGACUUGUUGACUUCUAGUCUUCAUUUCUCUUCUGUUUUACAUUGGUUGAUGAUGAUUUGAUUCAUAUUUGAUCAUUGUGUUUCGACAUUUGAAUUCUCCUUUUAUUCCAUUUCAUCUUCAUCUUAUUUCUUUUACUUUGGCCAAUGAGUUAAUGUCUUAUGGUUGGUCUUGACAUAUGAGAGGCUUAAUCUUCUUUGAUCCAAAUCAAACUCAACUUGAUCCAUGAUCAAGUGAGUUGCUUUGUGUCAGUUUUGUUUCAGUUAUGUAUUGGGAUGAAAUUACUCCCCUGAGCUAUAUCCUCAUUGGGUUGAGUUUUGUUUCAUUGUGUCUUUCUGGUUUGUUCCUGGAUUGACUCCCUUCUUGUUUUUCCCCCUGCAGCUUCCUGUGGUUUAAUUGUUCAAUUGCUCAGUAACCAGUAAUUGUUCAUCUUCUCCCCAGCGGAGGUGUUGGCCUUCUACCCAAUAACUGGUAGUUGUAAGUCCUUUUUUUGUGGUUUUCUACCCAGUAACCGGUAGAUGUAAUCCCCUCUUUGAUUGGUUAUCUUUAUUCGGUAUUGAUAUUCCUUCAUUUUUGAGUAUACCACCCAGUAACCGGUGAUAUAUCUCCUGGAUAAUUGUUGUUGUCAAUGUAUCCCCAGCGAGUCAUCCUUCAUUUACCCUUGUUCGGUAAUGAUGGUUUCUCCCUUUUGGUUCGUCAUCAUUUUAUACCCAGUAACCGGUAUCCCGAUGUCCUUUCUUUUCGAUCGAUUUAUCCUUUAUUAACCCAGUAACCGGUUGUGGAUAAUCUUCCAUGCGAGUAUGUUAUCUACGUUAUGACGGUAAUAGAUAAUAUAUCACACGCGCUCUUCAGUCGAAGUCUUUGUUCUUCCCCAGUUGAGUAAGAUUCGUAUUUCCUUAUGGAAUCGAAUGUCCAUCCUGUAAGUCGAGUUUGCUUUUUCAGCCCUCCUUUCGGAUGAUGAGUGUCUUGGAUAUGUUCCCAAUUCACGCCUGGUUGGUCACCUAUUAUAUGCCCAGUAACCGGUAUCUCUGGUGUUCCUUCCCUCUGCUCCCUAUUAUGACUUUUUGUCCCCUGUGGAGUCAGACUUUCCUGAGUUGAGAUGUGCCUUUUGGGUCCUCCUCAGACAUUUCGGAUGAUUGAUAUCUCUCACCCUUAUACCGGUCCUAGAUUUUCUUUCUCCCUGAGCAUGUUAUUCUCUCACCUAGUAACCGGUGUUUUGAUCACAUGUCUCUCCUUGAGUUUAUUACCCAGUAACCGGUAAUAUCUCGUUGUUUCUUCCUCAUCUGAGUUUCCUUUAUUGGAGUUUCCCCAUAUGAGUCCGGAUUUUUAUCCGAAGUAUCCUUUGCGGAUAGUUCUGUUGUAUUGGCAUAUUCCCCAAUACAUGCAUCUUUGCGUCAGCUCGAUUCUUUCCAUCGAUUUAUUUUCGUGGAAUCCCUUCGUGUCUCCCAGCAAGUUUUCAAGUCGUGCCCUGCUCACACAUUUUUACCCUAUUUUUCCCCGGAGUCUCUGUCUCCCUAGUGAGUGUGUCACUCCUAGAGAUUUUUCAGUUUCUCCUGAUUUCUUUUCCUUUGUGGCAAUUAUUCACUACGAAGAGUUUUAUUUUUGCAUGCAUACAUUUGCAUCAUGAGGUCUCUUAGGGACCAAAAUUCAUCUCUUUGUUAUUAUUUAAGCCCAUUCUACCUCGUUGAGACAAAGAUUUUAACCUUCAUAUAUCUAGCUAGAAUGAACUUAAAUAGGGGCAUCUGUAAGACCCUAAUUUUGACCCUAAGAUCCCUCAUGGCAUCAUAUCAUUUACUUUAUGCAUUGCCUCAAGGAUCAUAACAUGUGUGGCUCCUUAACCCUUGGGUUGGGACUUGUGUGAGUGGUUUGAGAUCACCAAGCAUGCUUGAAUUGUAUAUUAUUUUCUUUUCUUAUUUUGUUUACUAACCAAAAGCACAAAAAUAUGUCACUAACUCUUUUUGUUUUGAAGCUCAAAUGAUCAUGUGCUCCAAUGCUCCUAGGAGGCUCCUAAGCUCAGUGAAAUGGUUAAAUGAGGAUGAGAACAAGCAUGACAAUGGACCACAAGGUUCCUAAUCAUCAUAUAUGUAUCCUAAUUAUCUCAAUUUGCCAAUUUGAUCAAGAUAACCCAAAGGGCUUGAGGAUUGUUUCCCAAGGAAACCCUAAUUCAACUGUGCUUUGACAGUGCUUUGCUCAUGAAACAACCUCAACCUAUGAUCAAAUUAAAUCAAGGGAAGUUCUUUCAUUAAUUAUUUUAUGCAUAUAUGAGCCUAUUUGAGUAUCCUCAAUCAUUCAUUCAUCAAGAUUUGAAGUUUGGCCUUGAGAAGUUGACUAGUCAAGUCAUCUGACCAAACUGAGGAUCAUUGAGACACAACUUUUGAUGUGUUUGUUAAAUAAAGAUGACCCCAAGAGAAAAUUUGUUCUUACGAACAAUAUGAACAACUUUCAUUUUCAUCAAAAAUCCAUUUUAAACUUUGAAGGUCAUCAUUCAUUUCAAAACAUUAUAGGUCAUUUUGAUUGAAACCCUAAUUUUGGGUCAACUUCCCAAGGACCUAACUUCUUUAUUUUUUAUGAUUUUGAGGUGAUACAAAUUGAAGUGGAAAUAUUAAGAUGUCUACUUAAAAUGUUAUGUUGUACAAAAUUUCAUAAUCCCAAAAGAAACACAUGUGAUAAUACAAAACAUUAUAGGUCACUUUGGACCAAAGCCAUUGAAUUUGAAAAAUUUCCAACUUUCUCAUUAAAAAUCCAAAUGAUGAAAACUUUAAGUCCAAAUUGAUCAUCUUGAAAAUAUAUACAACUUUUAUGUUUAAUGUUUUUCCAUUUGAGGCAUGCAUCAUUGAAACACAAGGGCUUGAAGUUGCUUAUUUUUGGCAAAUUUUUCAAAGACAUGUUUUGUACCCCAAACUUCAAAGUCAGUUUUCAUAAAUUUCCACACUCCAAAUUGAUUUUUGUGCAACAUAACUUUUAUUCCUUAUGUCAAGAUCUUUCCAACCAUUACUCACAUGCCCAUGCUUGGAUUUUUUAAGUAUGACUUUCAAAGAGGGGAACAUUUGUGACCAAUUAUGCAUUUCACUUUGAAACUUCAUGCACAAGCAAUUGCAAUUCAAACUACACGUCCAAUCCACUUCAGAGUGAUACCAGCUUGCAUUUCGAAUUGAUUUUGGGUCUCACGUGCGCCUGUACAGGCCCAUGCAUGGAGGACCCAAGGAUCAUGCACGCGAGUAUUUUCCCUCCUUGCCGUGUAGCUCAGCUAUAAAUACCAUGCUUGCUUCAUUCAAUGGAGAACCCUGAAUUCAACCUGAAGCUCUGCAGAAUUGGAAACCCAACAAUACCAAAAGAACUCUCAUUUUUAAUUUCUCAUUUCAAGUUUAAAUUUCAACAAAAUCAAUUGAUCUUCAAUACUUAUUCCUUAGCCUUGCACUCAUAUCACAUCUUAAGAUCAAAUUGCAAGCAAGAAUUGGAGCAGAUCGUGUUGUUUAAAGCUGCACUUCAAAGGUUUAUGAUCCAACUGUUUUGAGCGAUAUCUCAUCAUAUAUUGUGAAUUGCUUGUGUUCAAUUGGUUUUCUGAAGUCCUCGUGUGAGAGGCAAGCCAACGGUGGCUUUGAUUUCAUGUUUUAGAACAUUUGAGUUUGAACACCUGGAAAUUCAAGCUCAGAUUUCUCAUUCCAUAGAGAUCUUGAGAGAAAUCCAAGGUUACAGGGGUGAUGUACAUCACCCUAGCUUCAUUUUGGUAUAAGGAUCAUGCAUUUUGGUUGAGGUUUGAAAACCUGCAACUGGUGGUCGGAAAUAGUUAGUUCACCGGAGAAGACGGUGGUUUCCACCACCGUCCCCACGUGGAAUCAUCUGGCCCCUUGGAUCUCCUUCCAGCGUUCUAAUCCUGACCUUUUGUUUAUUUGACUUUUUUAAAUCCAAUGUGUUUCGCGCUUGACUCGUGCCUACCAUGGAAGCGCGCCUCUAAGCCUUUGAUUGUGUCCACGCCAUUUAAUGAAAUGGAUCAUGCAAUCCUGGUUUUUUCACAUUUUCUAUUUUUCUGUUUUAUUUUCUUUUAUUCCAUUUAUUUUCAAAAAUUCAUAACUAUUUUAUUUGGAAUCACAAAAAUAUGAGACCAAUUGCAAAAAAUUUCUUGAAAAAUCUAGUUUCAUAAUCUGAUUUUUUUAACUAUUUUAUUUGGAAUCACAAAAAUAUGAGACCAAUUGCAAAAAAUUUCUUGAAAAAUCUAGUUUCAUAAUCUGAUUUUUAAUUAUUUUUGUGAUUCCAUUUAAUAUUUUUUGUGAAUUAUUUUAUUUUUGAUAUUUUUUAAUUCAUUUUAAAUACUUUUUGAUAUUCAAAAAUUCCAAAAAUAUUUUCUUAACACAUAUGGAUGAUGAUAGGUCUAUGAAAAAUAUUCUCAUCAAUUUUUCAAUUGAUUUGAGAUUUAUUUGAGAUUUUAAUUCAUUUGUGUUAUUUUCCUUUGUUUUUAAUUAUUUUAAAAUAGUUUCUGUUUUCAAAAAAUGUUGAGAAAAUUUGUCAAACCUUGUUUGACCAUGUUAGACUUAUGAUGAUUCAAUUGGACUUAUCCAAGUUGAUUUGAAUUAAAUUUGCAGUUUGACCAUAUUUUAUUCAUUUUCAUUUAUGCUUUAUUUUAAUUCCAAAAAUACCAAAAAUACCAAAAAUAUGUUUGACCUUUAUUGACUUCUACUCUUCAUUUCACAUCUAUUUACCAUUGAUUGAUGUUGAUUUCAUUCACAUUUGAUCAUUAUGUUUUGAUUAUGUCAUUUGAAUUCUCAUCUUGUCUAUUUCAUCUUCAUCUCUCUUCUUCUUCUUUUUUCUUUUGGCCAAUGAGUUAAUGAUUAAUGGUUAGCCUUGACAUAUGAAAGGCUUAACCUUAUUUGAUCCAAAUCAAAUUCAACUUGAUCAAAGACCAAGUGAAUUGCUUUGUGUCCAAGAUAGGUUGCUUCUUGGUCAAGCAAAAAACCUAAAAUCCAUACAAGGCCUUUUCUUCUUUUCUUUUGGCAUGGCAAGUUGUAGGAGCUUGACUUACUAGUCAUGAUCUCUAACUUGUGUUUAUUUUCCUAUAGUUUUAUUGAUCGACCUCAGAUAGGUGUGACUACUACAUUAGUCCACUUAGAAUUGCUUAACAUAACGCUAAAUUGUCUUAUGACACACUAACAUUAAUUACUAACACUAACUUUAGUUCAAGCAUUUAAUUCUUGCAAUUUACUUUAAUGCAAUUUAAUUUCUUACUCAUUUAUUCAUAUUGCCUUUUCCCUUUACUCACUUGAGCUCAUAUUUUAUGUUUAUGCCAUUUUCCUUUUGCUCACUUGAGCUCAUUAUUGUGAAUAAAUGUAUUGUUGCUUUGUGCUUGUUUUGUGAUUGUUUGUGUGAACCCAAUGCAAAAAGGAGAAAGGACUUAGAAUUAGGCCCUUACCUAUGCUCAAAGGAGUUCAAGAGCAACUAGGCCUCAUGCCUUUAGAAUGCUAAGUUUGUUGAAGAGCAACUAGGUCUCAUGCCUUUAGAAUGCUUAAUCUUAAAGUUGACUUGAAAGGACCCCUAAUCUAAACUCACUCUUUGUCCAUUCCUCUUAUUGCAUUGUGAACUUUUUGAUUGUUUGUUCUUGUGUGGUAGGGAUCCCAAACUUGAGAUAGUAAGAAGGACCAUUGUCAUGAGCAUCCAAGUUAAGAGAUACAAGUCCAAAUGGAGAUCCUAGGAGCUUGAUUGAAUAUUUGUUUGAUUGCUUGAGUUAAUUGCUAAGUCCAAAGGAAAGGAGCAUCUUGAAUCAUCUUUAUGAUCUCAAGAAAGGGAACUCCAAGGGUUUUAUCUCUUCUCUUAUCUUUGCAUGUUUAUGACUAGCCUUUCUCUUCUUCUCUUCACUCUAACCCAAGCCAAACUCAUUUUGUGCAAACAUUGACAUUGUUUUCAAAUUAGAAACCUAGGCCUUAUGCCUUUGAUUUUUCAAACUCUUUUCAUUAAUACUCAUUGUAAAUAAACCUUAAUUCAUACUUUGACCUCAUUUUGUGAAUACUUCUAAUUUGUAAAUACAACUCAUUUCAAGUGCUUUUUUGGUUUCAAUGGCCACCUUUCUUAAAACUUUUUCAUAAACAUUAGCCAUAGGUUUGAGUUAUCAUAGUGGUUGAUGUAAACCUCACCUUAUCCUUAGUGAUUAUACUAUAAGUCUUCCAUACUUAUUAUAGGGUGGACCCCUCACUAGUAUGUUGAAGCUCUCCUCACAUGGUGGAUUGUUGGUCUAGGUUGAGUUUUCUCCCUUUGAUAACGAAAGACCUUAAGGCUUUUGAUCAAAUCAAUUCACCCGUAUUUUUGAGAUUUUUACCCCGAACUACGAGGUUUUGAUCCUACAUUUGUGAUGGUACGUAGGCAAUCGGUUCAUCCAUUCAAACAACAAAACUGUAAAUAAUAUGUACAUUAUUUUCUCAUCUCUCCUAUCUUGUUUGCACAAAUAUUUUCACAAAUACCAACCUACAAUACACUUUGCAAAAAGGGCUCCCUUGGAGUACUAAGGAUGUUUUGGGUGCUUGAAACCUUCCCAUUGCAUAACCAACCCCCUUACCCAGAUCUCUGACAUUUUUAUUAGUUUUUGAUUUGAUAAAACUAUUUAGUUUUUGUUCGCUUUCUAACCUUUCCUUUGGAUAAAUAGAAGUGCGGUGGCGACUCAAAUUGUAUGAUUUACUUUUGAUUUAGUCAAUAAAUCUAAAGGUAACGAAUACCCCGCUACAGUUGCAAGUCACGAGCAUGGAGUCUGGGUAAGAACCAUCCCAAAGGAGUGAACUAAGGAUAAAACCUGUAGAUCAUGUUCUAAACAGUUCCCAGAGUCUUAAUUCCAUCUAUCGGAUAUUACAGGUUAAGAUGACUGACACAUCGACCCAUAAUAUUCUCAAGAGAAACUCGUCUGAGUGUAGUAUCGCGUAACAACUGUUAUCAAGUCUACACCUGAACAGUUUCUGUACUACGUCCUAAAUAGGCCAAGAUGGGUUAGGUGUUCUAAGGUCCUCAGCUUCUCAGACCCAAUUAGAAAUAGUCAUGCCUAACCAUAAAUACUUGUGUGACAUUUCCGAAUCCAAAGGAGUCUCCACUGAGCAGAUGGAUCUCAAGCCAACUUGUUAAGGACUACUCCACACAAGUCGAACAUGACUAUACCAUCCUCCUAUCUUAAUUGCACUCAAGUUCGGGUUAGAACUUAUUCUGAGCAGAUGGAUCUCAAGCCAACUUGUUAAGGACUACUCCACACAAGUCGAACAUGACUAUACCAUCCUCCUAUCUUAAUUGCACUCAAGUUCGGGUUAGAACUUAUCUCACCACUCAGAGAUCAGCAAGCACAACAAGCAGAUUAUAUCACACAUACAUAUAUACAAACAUCACAUAUGUACAAAUAUAUUCACAAAAAAAGUAGGCUAAACCCACUAGAGACUACUCCCCAGCAGAGUCGCCACUUAAUUUCUAUAGCGGAAAUUCAUGAUCAUCAAGCUAUUGAUAAGCUAGAGAUCAAUUAACAAGAGUCGCCACCGUACUUUUAUUGUUUCCAAGGGAAAAGGGAAAAGUACGAACAAAACCCAAAUAGUAAGAAGUUUUCAAAUAAAAACUAAUAAAAGUCAGAGAUCACAGAUAAGGGGGUUGGUUACACAGAGGGAAGGUGUUAACACCCAAAGUGUCCUAGGUACUCCUAGGGAGCCCUUUUUGUGUGCAUAUGUAUUUGGUACAAAGUGAUGUUUACAAACAAAUAGAAUGGGGGGAUGAGGAAAGAAUUCAUUAAUUAUAGUUUUGUGUUUGACAAGACCUUCGGUCUUGUGCCUACGUACCAACAUAUAAAUGAGGGAUCAAAACCUCAUAGUUCAUGCUAUAAAUUGCAAAAUGAGUGUGUCGGUUUUAACAAAAUUUAAGUUUGAAAAGGCACAAAGGCCUAAAAUGAUUUGAAUGAGUUGGUUCUUUUUAGCUUUUUGAAAUUUUAAGUCAAGCAUAGUUAAGUUUAUUUACAAGUUUGAUUUAAGAAAAUAAGUUUGAAAAUGCAACGGCAUAAGGCCAAAGUUUCUACCUUUUGCAAAAGUGGUCAACGUUUAGAACAAAAAGUAGUUCACACAAAGAAGGUUUUAAAAAUGGAGGGAGAGAUUUUGAAAUUAAAGAAAUAGGGAGAAGAUGAAGAGACUGCCCUAUGUACAAGAAUUUAAAAGUUUAAAGUUGAAAAGAUCUUACCAAAUAGGAGCAAUCCAAUAGACAAAUAUGUCAAUAGAAACCCAGAAUCCCCUUGGAAUUUUUUAGGAUCAAGCAACACACAAAUGCACAAUUAUAUCAAUCUUGAAGAGCAAAGGCAUCAAAUAAAGAUGGCCUCAUCCAAUCUUAUCGACUUCAAAGAUCUUCCUCAAAAUAGCCCAUGCAACAGAUGAAUUCCACAAUUCAUAGGUUCAACAUAACAGCUUAUCAAUGAUCAAUGUUGCAGAUGAAUCUGGAGAGAUCUAGAAUGAUGCAUCAUAUGAACUCAAAUUGCAAUCACUUGGUUCUUCAACAAAUUGGUAUUGGCCAAGUCCAUUAGCAAAGGAAUGUUGCCUGAGUUCUAAGUCUAAUUGGGCAAGAUCAAACCAAUAGUCCAUUCAAAUGUCUUUUAGGGUUUUUGUUAUUAUUAUGUACAUUAAUGGUCAAAGACCAAACAGACAAGCAAACAAAAUAAUAUCACAAUAUGGUCCAAAUGGAUAAAGUAAAAAUUACAUUAACAUAAACAAUUAGAAUGAUAUGUAUAAUGGCAAAUGAUAAUAGAAUACUAAAAGCAAAUUUCAUUAAAGUAAAGACUUGAAAGUAAAAGUUAAUGGUUAGUAAGUUAAUAGUUAGUUUUGUUUUGCUUUUGAUUUCAAGACAUUCUUUGGAGAACACACAACCCACUUGCCACAAGUAUGGAUCCUUGAACCAAAACAUCUUCCAAAGGAAGGAAAGAAAGCCAAGUUUCCACACAAUACCAUGGAAGAGGGGAGACCUAAAAUCUCACUAACUAGAAUGCUUAUGCCUUUUAUGUCACAAAUUUAGCGCUAUGUUAAGCAAUCGUAAUUGGACUUACGUAGAAGUCAUAACUAUUUGAGUUCAGGCAAUAAACUUUUGGUGUUAAUGCAUGUUGGAGACAUAGUAUUAAGAACUAUACUCAUUAAACAUACCACACACAAAAAAAUAUGCAAAGGUGUGGCCUAAUCUCAUCCAUACUCAUGUUAUACUUUCAAUCAACUAGCAUUAGGACUUUGAGAUGUCAUUGGCCAAUUGAAAAUGAAUGGAUGAAAAAGGGAAUUAGAUGAAGAGGAGAUGGGAUGAAUGAGAUCACAAAUUGGUCAAAGGAGGACUUUUACCAAAUUAAUAUUAUUCAUUCAUUUUGGGAGAUGGAAUGUACAUUCCAUCAAUCCCCUAAAUCCAAUAAUAUUAACUUGACAAACUCAAAUCAACCUUGACCAAGGCCCACCAACAAAUGAGAAACUCAAUUAAGUCAAUACAAAUGGUCAACACAAUUAAAAUGGCAUUUAUUCAAUUAAAAAUAGUAAAAUAAUGCAUUAAAUUUAAAUAUGUUUUGUCCAAAUCCUAAAAUCUCAUCAAAACACUAAUAGUAAAAUAAUGCAUUAAAUUUAAAUAUGUUUUGUCCAAAUCCUAAAAUCUCAUCAAAACACCAAAUAAAUGGUCAUGAGAUUUAUCAUAGGUCAAACAAGGUCAAAGGACCUUGGAGAAAAAAUUUCAUAAUUUUUGGACACUUAAAAAUAUUUUAAAACAAUUAAAAACAAAUGAAAAAUCCAUUAAUUAAUGAAAAAUAUUAAUAAUGAUACAAAAAAUAAUUUUAAUUCAAAAUAUGAAAGGGAAAAAUAUUUGAAAUUUUUUGGUGAAAGUCCCAUAAUUUUUGGAUCAAUAUUAAAUUUAUUAUGAAUUAUUGAAGAAAAUGGAAUUAAACUAAAAAUCAUAAAAUUCAAAAAUAUGUGGACCAUCAGAUCUCCGUCAUUAAUUGAUGUGGCAGAUAUGAUGAUCCAAAACGCGCGUUCCACCAAUGCCUCAGUCAACAACGUUGUAACAUGAGUAAUCACAAGGAACGACUAUGAUUAAAACGUGGAGCAUGGAUCAUACGGUUCAGACUCAAGACACAUCAUCACCGGAGCCAGAGCUCCGGUUGUCUUCUCCGAUGAGCUUCACCGGACUAGUCAACAUGAACCAUCACCAAAAUGCAAAACAGGGACAUGAUUUUAAAGAGAAAACAUCACUGAGCAUGAAUAUCACCUCCAAUUCAUCCAAUUCCAACUAUAUUGAGAGAUAUGUGGAAUUGAAAAAUGAGGUUCACGAUCUGAGUUGCUUCAAUUUGGCCUCAAAGCAACUCAAUCUUCUUGCCUACAUUGGUAGGAUUUCAGACAACACAAGAAUCAAUGAAAUUUAGCAAGAAUCAAGGAGAAUCGAAGAGUUUAAAAUUUAUGCAAAUUACCUUCAAUGGAGGUUUGAGCUUGCUAGAUCUUGAUCUGAAUCGUGCUUAGCUUCACUUCAAUUGCUUGCAGAAGAGGAAUGGAAAGGCUUAAAAUCAAUGGACUCCUGGAGAAUUGAAUUCCAAAACAAUGGAGAUUCAAGCUCAAAUUCAAAUGAACUUAUCAGGGUUAUCCUCUUAGUGUGAAGGGUUUUCAAUGGAGAUUCAAAGUUGGCGCAAUGUGUGUGUUAAUUCUGAGCAUAAGGGCCUCAAUUUAUAGGGAAAUCAAAUGAUAUUUGCACACUCUUUCCACUUUCCGAAUUUGGCAAAAUGAUGAUACAAAGCUGCAUGGGUGUGCAUAGGCCCAUGGAAUGAUGGUUUGAAAGUCCAAAAUGAAGUUCAGAUGCUUUGAAGAUGGAUUGGAUUGCAAGGUACAUGUGCAUUGUCACUUGAAGAUUGAUCCAUGCCAAAUGAUAUCAGUCUGUUUAAGCCAUGCGCAGCGUAUGCAUUUCUCAUUAAAAAUGCAUGAAUUUUAGCUCUUUGGAAAGGUGAGAUCAAGAGGAACAAGUUUGAUGUUGAACACUUUUUCAUUUGGAGCUUGGAACUUGGAGAUAUUUGAGGUGGAAGUUUGAAAAAAUUUGACAUAUCAAAAUUUUUCUAAGUGUCAAGCCAUAUGUCUCAAUAUUCCACCUUACUUAACUUUUUAUAGGAGCUUCAAAUCAAAAAAGUGUCUUCAUAAAAGUUGUAUCUCUCUCAAAUACCUUUAAAAUGGUCACUAAUUUCAUGUCAUUUGGAUUGUAAAUGAUAGAGUUAUGCAUUUUUGAAGUUUGGAAAAAUCACUUGAUCAAUGGUAUAGGUCAAAAGUGACCUAUAAUGUAGCCUCAUAUCACAUGUUCAAAGAAGUUGAAUUAGAUCUUACUCCAAACAUCAAAGUUGAAGUAGACACAUUUAAUUUGAUUUUUAAACUUGGAAAUAUUUCAUAUCAUAAAAAUUGAGCAAGUUAUGGUCUUGGGAAGUUGACUUUCAAAUUAGGGUUUAGACAAAAUGACCUAUAAUGUUUCAACAUAGAAAAGGGAUUUUCAGAAAACUAGCUCUAGAUAUCAACAUGAAAGUUGUUUAUAAUGUCAUUUAGAGUAAGUUUUCUCUUGGAAUAAUUUUCAUAUUGUGAGAAUUGUAGGAGAUAGGUCUAGGGAGACCCAGUUUUGAUCAGAUGAAUUCAUCUGGCCAACCACCAUCAACCAACUUGCUAACUUCUAAUUAUCUUGACUUUAUUGGUCAUGGUAGAUCAUAUAUGCAUAAGAUGAUGAAAUUUGAAGUGUCCCUUGAGAAAUUUGAUCAAGUUGGUGAGAUAGCUUGUUGGAGAAGUUACUCAAGAUACCCAGUCAAACUAGGGUUUCCAAGGCAAAUCACCCUCAAACUCUUGAAGAAAACUUGAUCAAUAUAACAUGUAGAGAUCAUUAGGGCUCAUAUAUGAAAUUCAUAACCAUUAUUGAAUCAAUUCUUGGUUAUACCCUUGUUCAUGAGGGUCUCACACCCUAGAUGUGAUCUUGAUGAAUCGAUGAGAUCGUGCCCUUCCUACAAAAGAGUUAGAUAGAUACAAAGAUAUAUUUUUGGUACUUUGGUUAGUGAAAUGAUAAUAUAAAAGUAUGGUAUAAUCACAAGAUGCUUGGUGAUCUCUCCCAAAACAAACCCAAUGAAGAGGGGGUAAGGAGGAUACCAAGGUAUGAUCCCAAUGCUAGUGCAUAUGAUGGAAUUACAUGAGGGAUAUUAGGCCAAGAUGGGUUAGGUGUCCUAAGGUCCUCAGCUUUUCAUACCCAAUUAGAAAUAGUAAUGCCUAUCCAAAAAUACUUGUGUGACAUUUCCAAAUCCAAAGGAGUCUCCACUGAGCAGAUGGAUCUCAAGGCAACUUGUUAAGGACUACUCCACACAAGUCGAUGUACUGAUAUGGUAGGAGGAUAGAAUUAACGUGUCAAGUUCGGGUUAGAACUUAUCUCACCACUCAGAGAUCACCAAGCACAACAAGCAGAUUAUAUCACAUAUACAUAUAUACAAACAUCACAUACAUAAAAGCAGAUUAUAUCACACAUACAUAGGGGCAGCUGUAAGACCCCAAUUUUGAUCCUAAGACCCCUCAUGCAAUCCCAUCAUAAGCAUAAGCAUUGGGAUCACAUCUUGGCAUCCUCCUUACCCCUUUUCAUUGGGUUUGUUUUGGGAGAGAUCACCAAGAAUCUUUGUGAUUAUAUCAUACUUGUAUAUUAUCAUUUUACUAACUAAAAUACCAAAAAUAUAUCUUUGUAUCUAUCUAACUCUUUUGUAGGUAGGGCAUGAUCUCAAUGAUUCAUUGAUCACAUCUAGGGUUUAAGACCCUCAUGAACAAAGAGCACAACCAAGAACUGAUUCAAUAAUAGUUAUGAACAUCAUAUAUGAGUCCCAAUUGCUUCUACAUGUUAUAUUGAUCAAGUUUUCUUCAAGAGUUUGAGGGUGAUUUGUCUUGGAAACCCUAGUUUGACUGGGUAUCUUGAGUAACUUUUCCAACAAGCUAUCUCACCAAUUGAUCAAAUUUAUCAAGGGAAACUUCAAAAUUCAUCAUCUUAUGCAUAUAUGAUCUACCAUGAGCCAAUAAAGUCAAGAGAAUUGGAAAUUAGCAAGUUGGUUGAUGGUGGUCGGCCAGAUGAAUUCAUCUGAUCAAAACAGGGUCUCCCUAGACCCUAUCUUCAACAAUUUUCACCAUAUGAAAAUUAUCCCAAGAGUAAACUUACUCUAAAUGACAUUAAAAACAACUUUCAUGUUGACACCUAGAGCUAGUUUUGCUUGGAAAAUCAUUUUCUAUGUUAAAACAUUAUAGGUCAUUUUGUUUAAACCUAAUUUGAAAGUCAACUUCCCAAGGCCAUAACUUGCUCAUUUUUUAUGAGAUAAAAUAUUUACAAGUUUAAAAAUCCAAUUCAAUGUGUCUACUUCAACUUUUAUGUUUGGAUUGGGAGCUAAUUCAACUUUUUUGAGCAUGUGAUAUGAGGCUACAUUAUAGGUCACUUUUGACCUAUACCAUUGAUCAAGUGAUUUUUCCAAACUUCUUUCAACUUUUUUGAGCAUGUGAUAUGAGGCUACAUUAUAGGUCACUUUUGACCUAUACCAUUGAUCAAGUGAUUUUUCCAAACUUCAAAAAUGCAUAACUCUAUCAUUUAAAAUCCAAAUGACAUGAAACUGAUGACCAUUUUGAACGUCUUUGAGAGAUAUUCAACUUUGAUGAAGACACAUUUCUCAUUUGAAGCUCCCAUAAAAAGUUAAGCAAGGUGGAAUAUUGAGACAUAUGGCUUGACACUUCAAAUUUUUGAUUUGUCAAAUUUUUCCAAACUUCCACCUCAAAUAUCUCCAAGUUCCAAGCUCCAAAUGAAAAAGUGUUCAACAUUAAACUUGUUCCUCUUGACCUCACCUUUCCAAAGAGCUCAAAUUCGUUCAUUUUUGACUUGAAAUGCAUAGGUUGCGUAUGACUUAAAUAGACUGAUAUCAUUUGGCAUGGAUCCAACUUCAAGCAACAAUGCACAUGUGCCUUGCAAUCCAAUCAAUCUUCAAAGCAUCUGAAUUUCAAAUUUGGACUUUUAGCUAUCAUUCCAUGGGCCUAUGCGCGCCCAUGCAUCACUCCAUCAUCAUUUUGCCAAUUUUGGAAAGUGGAAGUGAGUGUGCAAAUAUCACAUGAUUUGGCUAUAAAUACAACUCCAUUUGCUCAUAAAUAAGACACAUUGUGCCAACUUUGAAUCUCCAUUGAAAACCCUUCGCUCUCAUAGGAUAACCCUAAUAAAUUCAUUUGAAUUUGAGCUUGAAUCUCCACUAUUUUGGAAUUCAAUUCUCCAGGAGUCCACUGCUUCUAAACCUUUCCAUUCCUCUCCUGCAAGAAAUUGAAGUGAAGCCAAGCACAAUUCAGAUCAAGAUCCAUCGUGUUCAUACCUCCAUUGAAGGUAAUUUGCAGAAAUUUUAAACUCUUCGAUUCUCUUAAAUUGUUGCUCAAUUCCAUUGAUUCUUUGAUUGUCUCAAGUCCUACCAAUGUAGGCAGGAAGAUUGAGUUACUUUGAGGCCAAAUCGAAGCAACUCAGUUCAUGUACCUCAUUUUUCAAUUCCACAUAUCUCUUAAUAUAUUUGGAAUUGGAGGAAUUGGAGGUUAGAUUCGACCUCAACGCCAUUUUCUCUUUAAGAUCAUGUCCCUGUUUCUUUUUUUGGUGAUGGUUCAUGAUGACCAGUCCGGUGAAGCUCACCGGAGAAGACAACCGGAGCUCUGGCUCCAGUGAUGAUGUGUCUUGUAUCUGAAGCACUUGGUCCAAGUCUCAUGUUCUAAUCUGGAUCGUUCCUUGUGAUUACUCCUUUUGUCACGCGGUUGACUCAGGUGUAUGUGGAGCGCGCGUUUUGGAUCAUCAGAUCUGCCACCUCAAUUAAUGAGGGAGAUCUGAUGGUCCACGUAAUUUAGCAUUUUCUGAAUUUUAUUUUUAUUCCCUUUUCUUCUAUAAUUCAUAUUAAAUUUAAUAUUGAUCCAAAAAAUAUGGGACUUUCACCAAAAAUCUUCAAAUAUUUUUCUCUUUCAUAUUCUGAAUUAAAAUUAUUUUUUGGAUCAUCAUUAAUAUUUUUUAUGAAUUAAUUGAUUUUGAAUUUGUUUUUAAUUGUUUAAAAAUAUUUGUAAGUGUCCAAAAAUUAUGAAUUUUUUCUCCAAUGUCCUCUGACCUUGUUUGACCUAUGAUAAAUCUCAUGACCAUUUCUUUGGUGUUUUGAUGAGAUUUUAGGAAUUGGACAAAACAUAUUUGAUUUUAAUGCAUUAUUUUAUUAUUUUUAAUUGAAUAAAUGCCAUUUUAAUUGUGUUGACCAUUUGUAUUGACUUAAUUGAGUUUGAUUGUUUGUUGUUGGGCCUUGGUCAAGGUUAAUUUGACUUUGUUAAGUUAAUAUCAUUGGAUUUAGGGGAUUGAUGGAAUGUACAUUCCAUCUCCCAAAAUAAAUGAAUGAUAUUAAUUUGGUAAAAGUGCUCCUUUGACCAAUCUGUGAUCUCAUUCAUCCCAUUCCCCUUCAUCUAAUUCCCCUUCUUCAUUCAUUCAUUUCCAUUUGACCAAUGACAUCUCAAAGUCCUAAUACUAGUUGAUUGAAAAAUUAACAUGAGUAUGGAUGAGAUUAGGCCACACCUUUUGCAUAUUUUUUGUGUGUGGUAUGUUUCAUGAGCAUAGUUCAUAAUACUAUGUCUUCAACAUGCAUUAACACCAAAAUUCUAUUGCUCGGUCUCAAAUAGUUGUGACUUCUACAUAAGUCCAAUUACGAUUGCUUAACAUAGCGUUGAAUUUGUGACAUAAAAGGCAUAAGCAUUCUAGUUAGUAAGAUUGUAAGUAUCCCCUCUUCCAUGGUAUUGUAUGGAAACUUGGCCUUCUUUCCUUCCUUUGGAAGAUGUUUUGGUUCAAGGAUCCAUGCUUGUGGCAAGUGGGUUGAGUGUUCUCCAAAGAAUGUCUUGAAAUUAAAAACAAAACAAAACAAACUACUAACUUACUAACUAUUAACUUUUAACUUCAAGUAUUUACUUUAAUGCAAUUUACUUUUAGUACUUUAUAUCAUUUGCCUUUAUACAUAUCAUUCUAAUUGUUUAUGUUAAUGUAAUUUCCACUUUGUCCAUUUAGACCAUAUUGUGUGAUAUUAUUUUGUUUGUGUUACUUUGGUUGUUUGUGUGGUCUUUGACCAUUAAUGUACAUAAUAACAACAAAAACCCUAAAAAACUUUUGAGUGGACUGUUGGCUUGAUCUGUGGACCAAUUGGACUUAGAAUUUAGGCAACAUUCCUUUGCUAAUGGACUUUGCCAAUGCCAACUUGUUGAAGAACCAAGUGCUUGCAAUUUGAACUUCAUAUGAUACAUCAUUCAAGAUCCCUCCAGUUCAUCUACAACAUGAUCAUUGUAAAGCUGUUAUUUUGAACUAGUGACUUGUGGAAUUCAUCUGUUACAUGGGCAAUUUCUGAAGAAGAUCAUGGAAUGGAUAAGAUUGGAUGAGGCCAUCUUUAUUUGAUGCCUUUGCUCUUCAAUAUUGAUAUAAUUGUGCAUUUGUGAGUCGCUUGAUUCUAAAAAGUCCAAUGGAAUUCUGGGUUUCUAUAGACAUACUUAUCUAUUGGAUUGCUACCCAUUUGGUCAGAUCUUUUCAACUUUAAACUCUUAAAUUUUGUGCAUAGGGUAGUCUCUUCAUCUUCUCCCCAUUUCUUUAAUUUCAAAGUCUCUUCCUCCAUUUUCAAAACCUUCUUUGUGUGAACUACUUUUGUUCUAAACUUUGACCACUUUUAAAAAGAAAGAAACUUUGGCCUUAUGCCAUUGCAUUUUCCAACUUAUUUUCUCAAAUCAAACUUGUAAAUAAACUUAACUAUACUUGACUUAAACUUUCAAAAAGCCAAAAAUAACUAACUCAUUCAAAUCAUUUUCAGGCCUUUGUGCCUUUCAAACUUAAAAUUUUGUUAAAAACCAACACACCCAUUUUGAAAUUUAUAGCACGAACUACGAGGUUUUGAUCCCUCAUUUUUAUGUUGGUACGUAGGCACAAGACCGAAGGUCUUGUCAAACACAAAAAUAUAAUUAAUUGAAUUCUUUUCAUCCCCCAUUCAUUUGUAUUACAAAUCACUUUGUACAAAAUACAUAUGCGCACACAAAAGUGGCCUCCCUAUGAGUACCUAGGAUUUACUGGCGCUAACACCUUUCCUCUGUGUAACCAACCCCCUUACCUGUGAUCUCUGAUUUUUAUUAGUUUUUAUUUGAAAACUUCUUACUUAUUGGGUUUUGUUCGUACUUUUCCCUUUUCCCUUGGAAACAAUAAAAGCGCGGUGGUGACUCUUGCUAAUUGAUCUCUAGCUUAUCAAUAACUUGAUGAUCAUGAAUUUCCCGUUACAGUAGGACUCUUGUCUAGUGUUGAGGAGGAUCACUCAGUAACAUAACUCUGAUAUUCAACAUUGUAGGACUUUGGUCUAGUGUUGAAGGACUUCAGUCUAGUGUUGCGAUUGAUUAUUGAUAAUGGUAGUAAGAGGUUCAGAUGGAAAUUGUUUGAUUUUUUUGUAGCAUCGUGCAUCUUGUAUAUAUGAGAUUAGCUUAGGACUUUAGCCUGGUGUUGUAGGAGUUUAGUCCAGUGUUAAGAAUCCCUCAGUAACAUAAGUCUGAUGUCCAACACUGUAUGACUUUAGUCUAGGGUUGUAGGAUGGUACCACAUGCAUGUGAUUAGAGUAUUUACGAAUAACAUAAUAAUUUGUAUAUUGUACAUUGCAUUGACUAAUUAUAUCGAUGUAAAAUAUUCUUGUUGUUUUAUGCAUCAUUAUCAUAUAUGAAUGUAUUCUCACCCAUUUCAUAUGAUAUAUUCUCUAUUGUUGUACUUGAUAUUGGGGAUCCCCAGAUUGAGGAUGAGGAGUGGUAGCUAUUGGUUACCGAGGAUGGCAUAGUUGGCCUUUUCGUUAGUUGUUUGUCUUUGUUUGCUGAAAUCUAUCGGUUGUUUAGUUGUAUAUGGUGUCGCUCUAAUAGUGUAACAUCAGUUUCAAAGUUUUGUGACGUUUUUUACUAAGAUGUGUUGAAUAAUUUACUUUUUUUUUAUGUUUUCUCAAAAUUAAGUGAUUUUAAAGACUAAGUUGCUAAUGUUAUUCUCUUUUUGAAUUAAAGUUCUGACUUUUGGAAAUUAAAGUUGAAGUUAUUAACGUGACACCCUGAUUGUUAUCUUCAUAUUUUCCGUAUUAUUCUAUAAAUAAAUAAGAGUUUUAGGGUGUUUUAGGUGACAUCUCAUAUUUCCUUAGUAUCAAAUUCUACACAAGUAAUAUAGGCUUGAUUAUGCUCCAAAGAAGAUAUGCAAGUCAGAUACUCUAAAGAUUUGAAAUAGGGGAUUGCAAUGCGACUUCGACACCAACUAAGCCGGGAUUGCAACUGACAAAGGAUCUAGAUGAAGAUGAAUACAAUCUAACUCAGUAUUUAAGACUCAUUAGAUCAUUAAUAUACCUUUGUCACACAAGGCAUGACCUAGCACACAAUGUAGGCAUGAUGAGUAGGUUCAUACAAAAGCCAAAUGUGCCUUAUCUUGCAGCCAUCAAGAAGAUACUAAGGUAUCUCACAGAAACACUAGAUUAUGGCAUUUUGUUCCCUACAACAGAUGAAGGAAAAGAAUGCAAACUAGUGGGAUACACUGACUCGAGUUUGUAAGGUUAUGUUGAGAAUAGAAAAUCCAUAGCUGAUUAUGUGUUUAUGCUAGGUGGUGCACCAGUUGCUUAUAGCUCAUGAAAAGAACCAAUUGUAGCUAUGUCAUCAUGUGAGACCGAGUGCAUAGUUUCCUCUCUUAGUGCAUGUCAAGCAACAUGGAUGGUAAAUCCGAUCGAAGAUAUUGUAGGUGAAAAUCAUGGAGCAAAGAUCAUGAAGAUUGAUAACAUGUCUGCUAUAAAUUUGUCCAAGAACCCGAUAUCACACGGAAGAAGACAACACAAUGAGAUGAGAUUCCAUUAUCUUAGAGAGGAAGUAUCAAAUGUGAAAAAUUGUUUCUCAAGGGAUAGAUGUUGGACACGGUGUUGGGACAACUGAUCCGACUUGUUAAAAUCAAUAAGACAAUAAUAUAACAGAAAUAGUAACACGAAUUGAGCAUUUCAAAAACAGAGAUCCAAGUAUAGUCAACCCAAAAAACCUGAAAAAAUCAUGUGAAACCUAAUUGGAAGAAAGUUAUGAAGGAAUAACGUACCUUGAAAGUUCUUCGAAAGUAUAAAUGUUAGAAUCUAUACAAAGAAAAAUGUAAGAAAGCGUAUGAAUAACAUGUUUACCUUUUAGAAGAAGAAGAAAAAGAAGAAGAAGAACAAGAACAAGAACAAGAAGAAGAAGAAGAAAAAAAAGAAGAAGACUAACAACAUCAAAGAUAAAGAAGAAACAAUGUUGAAUUUGAUUAUCUUUUAGUAUGAAGAAGAAGAAAUACGAGUUAUGUGGAAGAAGGAGAGACAAGUUCGCUGGAUGUGGAAGAGAGAGAGAUGUUAGGGUUUUUCAAUUUGAGCGAGACGACUGAAGUGUGAUAACUUCACUUAUAUAUAUGUAAAACUUAUCACCACCGUUGGUAAGAAAAACUGUCAUAAACUGUCAGUACUAUCCACAAUGAUUUCUGGUACUAACUAUGGUUAUAGAUAUUUUAAUUUUAAUAUAUUUGUAAGAGGAUAUGGACAAACCCUUUUUGUAACGGAAAAAAAUUGUUUGUGCUAGGGUUCUAAGCAUGUAACCUUUCAUCUAUAACCACGAUUGUUAUUAUGAACCGUAAAGAAAUGUAUUUUAAUAAAAUAUAAAAAAAUGCAGGCGCGUUAAGAUGAUUUCUUACUACGGUUGUCUAAAUAGCCUUAGUAAUAUGGUGUUACAAAAUGUAUAUUUUGUAGUAGUGUAUUUUCCCACAGUGGAUGCUACUUGUUGUAAAAUUGAAAGGUUCAAUCACACCACAAUAUUUUUGUUGGAAAAAUCUAACAAUAAGAUGAAUCAUGUUAUAAAUAUUGAUGUGUGGAACAAUGAACAAUGAAAAUCAAAAUAAAUAGCCUCAAGAAAAAAAAGUCAUCUGCCAAACAAUGAAGGCAAAUCCAUAAUAAACUAGAGAAAAUUAAAAUACUAGUAAGAAUAAUUCUUACUAAUAAAAAAUUUAAAUGCAUUAGGCAUUUCAUUAUACUUAACAAAAAUUUAAAUAAUACAAUAAUAUUAAAUAUUGUUAAUAGAAUAUAACAAAAGCCAAUAUCAAGUGGAUCAUAUAUAAACCAUUCCACUUCUUGAUAACUGUGAAUUCUGUAACUAACAGCAAUCAAGUAGAAUGCCAAUAUAUUUCAUUUUUUUUCUAAUCAACUUCGUGGAAUCUAGGACAAGAAUAUACAAAAUACUGAAAUAACACUCUAAGGGAUUAAGCACAUAGCAGUAUUGGCCAGAUCCCUCUAAACUUUUCUUGUCUUUUCUGCAAAAUGUUCUUGUCCAUAAUUCAAACAUAAAGCUCACACAUGCCAGCAUAGAUGUAUUGAGACGCAUGCAAGAUUAACACCAAAUAACUAUCUUCUCUUUUCUGCAAAAUGUUUUUGUCCAUAAUUUAAAUUUAUUUACUUCAAGAAAAGCCCUUACAAUGCUAAUGUGUAAGGUCUAAGGGGUCAAAGAAAAAAUAUCUUUAAUUGUUCCUUACCUAUCUUUUUGCAUGUCAAUGGUGUGAAGUGGAUGUUUGAUCAUAUGAUCUAUGUAUUUCAUGGUUCCUUCUAGUGUAGUAGCAAUGAAGGAUUUUAAUAUUGAUGGAUCAGUUUUAGACCACUGCAAGGCUCAUAUGUUCUUUCUACAUGCUCUUUUUAUCUCGAGCGCAUGUUUAAACAAUUGUAAAGAAUGUGACCUACACACGUUGAAUAUUGUUAACUUCAACAUACAUUUCAUACUUUCUACACACAUAGGAAAAUUAAUUUGCUUGAGUUUAUGCCAAAAACUAAUAAAAUAGGGUAAAUAUAAAAAGCAUAAUAAUGCAUAAUGAAAUUAAAAGAGAAUUGUUAUUUCAACAAACAGAAAAUGCUACAAGGUGUUUUUUACUAUAAAAACUCAAUUCGUCAACUAUCACUCCUUGAGUGACCAAACAUAACAUAUAAUAUUAUUAAAAAAAAAAAGAGCUGAAACAGUCAAAUGGAAGAGGGAGAAGAAACUCACACUUUAUUUCUGAGUUUGAGAUUGAUCAAUGUAUAGAGGGACAAAAUCUAGGUAUUUAGGACUUCCGAAUCGACCAAUAUGAAUUAAGAUCUAAUCACACACCAAUUAAUAUGUUAAAGAAAUCAAGGAUUAGAAAAAUAAAGUUAUUCCUUUCGAUCUAUUGACAUGGUAGACAUAGAGGUUGAGAAAGAUGGUAAUGCCGAAGAGGGAACGAGAUAGGUGGUGGGAUAAAUGAUCAUUAUUAAUUGAAAAUGUAAAGUUAAUUUCAAUUGUCGAUAUACCAUUCAUUUUCUUAUUAUUCUUAUUGUUAUAUAUAUAUAUAUAUAUAUAUAUAUUAUAUAUAUAUAUAUAUAUUAGUUAUAUAUUAUAGAUAAAAUUUAAUAUAUGUUAUGUAUAUAUAUAUAUAAUAUAUAAUAUAAUUAUAUUAAAGCGAAAGUAAUUGUAAAAAACAAUUUAUAAAGAAAUUGAAGAGAGUGGAGAAAAAUUAAAAAGUUAAAACUUUGCUGAAAAUGGUUAUUUAUGGUCGUUUGGUUCAUUCAAAUAAAAAAUAUAUUUAUUUUGAAAUUAUAAGUCAUGUUACAUUUUAUAUUAAAUAAAUCUCUCUCUCUUCUCUCUCUCUCUCUCAUUCUCUUACUCUCUCUCCUCUCUCGCCUCUCUCUCUCUCUCUCUCUACUCUCUCUCUCUCUCUCUCUCUCUCUCUUCUCUCUCUCAUUCUCUCUCUCUCUCUCUCUUCACUUCUCUUCUCUCUCUUUCUCCUCUCUCUCUCUUCUGCUCUCUCUCUCUCUCUCUUCUCUCUCUCUCUCUCUCUUCUCUUCUCCUUUUCUCUUCUCUCUCUCUUCUCUCUCCUCUCUCUCUCUCUCUCUCUCUCUCUCUCUUUGUGGUUUGUGUUGUGUAUAUUUAUAUAUUAUAUAGCUAAGAGUGAAAAAAUUUGAUGUAAAUGUUUAAACAACGAAAGGAUUUAAAAACACUCAAUAAAGAAAUUUCGGAAAUAGAGAAUUUUUUAAAAUAUUUUAUUCAGUGAUCGAAAUAUCACUUCACUAAUAUUUUAUAUUAAUUAAUAAAUAUAUGAUUAGAGGUAUACAUGUCCGAUUAUAAUAUUUUGGUGCUAGUUCCGAUAUAGUGUAUCACCAAAUUUUCAACCUAUAAAUUUUGUUUAGUAGUGUAUAUGCUUUGAAAGGUUUUUCAAGAGUUUAAAAUUCAAUUUUAAGAAAAUAGUCUUCUAAAUUUUCAAGAACAUCCCGUAUUUUCUAUUGAAGUGUUUCUCAAUAUCUUCAAUUCUCUGUAUAUGAAUCUCACAAAUGAAGGUGUUUAAAAAUGUUUCAUAAUCCCCUUAAACAUCUUCAAAGAUUUUCCAAAUUCUAAAAUUAUACUCCAAGAAGAUGCAAAACAAGGGAAAAAUCUGACCCAUCAGCAAAUAAACCUAUUUGCAAACCGAGCUGAACCGAUCCAAAAACAUGUCGCGUCGUCGCAAACCCCCACCCCGGCCGCUAGGGCAGGCCACCACUGCUACUUGCAAGUAACACAAUCCCAACUUUGACGUCAACGAAUUUCGUUAGUAUAUACUCCCUCUGUCCCAAAAUAAGUGUUGCAUCUUAUACAAUUAUUUAUUUCAAAAUAAGUGUUACUUUUAGUUUCCAAUGCAAUUCUAAUUUUUAUCUUCUAAAUAUUCUCUCUAAUAAUUUUCUCACUUUGUAUUUAUGAUAAUUCAAAUACCACCACUAAAAAAUCAAAUUUAAAGAGGGUAGAUUUUCGUCAGAAAUUCAUGGAUAUUCCGUCACAAAAUAAUUUAGUGUCGGAUUUAGAAAUGUGCAUAAAUCCGUAACAAAUUUCAAUGUCGCAAAAUUCAGUGAGGGAAUUUAUAUUCCAUCACAAAUGGGUAUGAAAUAAAUCUAUCACUAAUUCUAUCUUAUAUUUCCAUCACUAAUUAAUGACAGAAUAAUAGACCCCUCUCUAAUUAGAAGGGAAUUGUUCCAUCACAAAGUUGAGACAAUAAUCUACUUCCCUCUCAAAAUUAGAAAAUAUCACCAAUAUAUUGGCAUAAUCUAUACAUCACUAUAUUACAUAUCAUAAAUAUUUCACUGGUUUUUUUCAUGAUUUAACAAAAUUAAACCAUCAGUGUAUGAAACUUUUUUAAAUAUAAUAAAUAUUCAUCAUAAAAUUACAUUUCAAUAUGGGUGGUGAUGUCGAAGUAUAGAUAAGAUACGAUCGUUUAGGGUAACCUGCAUCAAAUUUUUGUAGAGUUUAAUGUAAACAAAUUAAAUUAUACUCUAAAAAAAACUAAGGUAAUAGGUUAAUUACUAGUCUUCCAUGAACUUGAAAACGGAAAACUAUAUUUAAUUUUGUCAUUCUAAAUUAUAUUUUUAGACUUCCAAAUCCUAAUUUCCUCUGUCUAAGAGUUUCAUAAUAAAACUAACAUUAAACCAUAUUAUGUGUUAGUAUGGGUUGCAGGAAGAAAACAAACUCACUUCAGUUUAAACAAAUUAACCCUGCAACUAAUACUAACACAUGGCAAUUGCAACCACCAUGCCAAAUAUUUAACAACCACCUCAGAUGUCACUGUCAAAUAUUUAGCAUCCACACUAAUGCCAUCUAAUUUAAAUUCUUUCUUAUCACAUGUAAAAAAAGAUUAUAGAAGAAUUACAAAGUAUACUACGUAUCUUCCGAGACACAAUAAGAAACAAAAUCAAAUGUCUAGAAAUAUUCAAAUAAAUUUAUAGCCACUCUGCAAUGCAUGAAAAAUAAAUUGAGCACAAGGUCGGUACACAAUAUACAUGUUUCAAUUCUAUAUAGUUUCAUUAUGUAGCCUCCUGAAUAAACCAUUUAUGUAUCUCCCACUCUAACAUAGAACAUCACAACUCCAAUAACCUUAAUAAUUAAUCCUAACAAAACAUUACGGUAAAGAAAAAUCACUCCCUUUAGAAAUAAGAAAUUCCAUAUUUUUUGCCAACCUCCAUGUAAUUUGUGCAAUAACAUUGAUAAUUCUGAAUUCACCAUGUUUGCUAAGUCUAUCAUACUUUGACUAGAAAUUUCUUCCCAUCUAUAUAUCUUAAAAAUAUAAAAAAAAAACAAAUUAAACCUUUAAAAGAGGAAUUAUAUAAAUGACUAUAACUAUAAUUAGGUAAAAGUAUCUUAGCAUGACUAAUUGCCUAAUUACUCAAAUUGACAUGUUCAAAACUAAUACUUUUCCAUCAAAUCCAACCUGAUCUUUAUCCUUCAUCCUCUCUCUUAAGAGAAUCAUAUAAAUUCUACGACCAAAUAAAACACUCUUCACUUGAAACCUCUUUAGCGAAUCCAACACCAUGUUUGGCUCGAAAGAAAAAAAACAGAAAAAAAUAAUUAAAAACAAUUUCAAAGUAUUUAACCAAACAAACAUGAGUCGUCAACCUAGCUUCAUAUUCACCAAGAGUAAUAGUUUUAGAAUUCUAAGAUUUUGCAAAAAAAAAGCAUCCUUUCAACAUAAUUUGUAGUUUCAUCCAAAAUAUUAUACAAUUGAAGCACAUAAUUAACAAUAAAAGCCUUAUUUUAUUUUAAAAGCUAGACUCCAUAAACUACUGGAUUUUACUAAACCCUAGAAGUUACCAGAAGCAAAAAUUGAAGAAACAUGUGAAAUUCCCAGAUCUGUAACAUGUGCACUAUACAUUCUUACACAACUAGGUUUACCAGAAGAAUGAGUUACAAAUGGUUGAAAUAGUGUAUCCCACUUGAUCCCUUGAACAAUUCCAAAAUCAAACUGUGUGAAUAUUGUUAGGGUUUUAUGAGAAAGUUAAUUGCUUCCCAUGUAGUUGAAGAAGUAGAAGAAAUUGAAGAAGCAAUUUGUUAAUGUAGCAACAAUUGAGUUUGUUUUCGCGAGCAACUAUGGUGGCAACAAUAGAGAUGGAUAAAAAUAGAAAGAAAAAAAGCGAAGAAAAGGAAUAUACCGUAUAGAAAUAGGAAUUAGGGUUAACAAGUGAGAGAGCAAAAAUUAAUUUAACAAAAUUUUUGGGAACAUUUAACUUCAAAAUUUUAAGAGUGAGCAGCAGAAGAAAAACAGGAAAAAGGUAAACCUAAUUUUAUCUAAAUUUUUUGUUUUUUAUUUAUUAAAUUUUAGGAAAAUCAUUUUAUAUAAAAAAAAUUAUGACAUAAAUAUAUGGCUUCUUUCAUUUAAAAAUAUUUUCUUUCAAUUUGAAAAACAUAAAUACUAGAAUUAAUAUUUAUAUUUAUGAACAUAAAUAUCAAAACUAAUAUUAAUAAAAGUUGACAAUUCCUAAAAUAAAUUAUAUUUUCUCUUUAUUAAAUAUCAUUAUUAAUUAAAAUAUUUGACUACCAUUUUAAUUUUAAUAAACAUUUAAGCUACAAUAUCAUUAAAAGAUAUUAUCUUCAAUUUUUAUAUAUAAAAAAAUGUUAGAGAGGAAACAUUUCCCUCACAAAAUUCAUUACAAUGACAUCUUGCACAUUUACAAUGGAAUUUGUUAAAGAUAGAUAAAAUUCAUCUCAAAGCUCUUCACAAAAUUUAUUUUAAUCAUAUUUUUAGGAAGUUUGAGAGGGAUUACUUGUGACAGAAUAUUUCCAGCACAUAUGUCAUCACUAAUAUUCAUCCAUUUAAUUUUUUUUUACGUGUAGAGUUUUCCAUCACUAAAUUCAUCCGAAUUAAUGAGGGAUUUAAUUUUGUGUCUGACUUACGUCACUAAAUUCCACUUUUUAGUAGUGUACACCAAUAAUAAAAAAGAGUAGUUAGGUAAAAAUAAUAUUCUCUCUUUCAUUUAUUAUAUUUUUAAAAUUUUUGUGAAAUAAUCAACUAUGAUAAUUAUUUUGGGACGGAGUGAGUACCAUGGACUAUGUCUAGUUUCUUAACUGUUAUUGGACUUAAAAAAUAUUUAAAUUCUUUUAGGAACACUUUACAAAUUCAUUUGUUAUUGGACACAGAUAACAUUUAAAAAAUUUAAUUCACAAUUUUAACAAUUAUAAAAUUGUCACUAGUAUUAGUUAGCAUGUGUAGAUAAAUGAUAGAACGAUAUAGGUGUGAUAAAACAUAAUAAUUAUUAAUAUUAAAUUAUUUGACUACUAUUUUAGUUUUAAUAAACAUUUAAGCUACAAUAUCAUUAAAAGAUAUUAUCUUCAAUUUUUAUAUAUAAAAAAAAUGUUAGAGAGGAAACAUUUCCCUCACAAAAUUCAUUACAAUGACAUCUUGCACAUUUUUGAUGGAAUUUGUGAGGAAAAUGUUAAAGAUAGAUAAAAUUCAUCUCAAAGCUCUUCACAAAAUUUACUUUUAUCAUAUUUUUAGGGAGUUUGUGAGGGAUUAUUUGUGACAGAAUAUUUUCAUAACAAAUUUCAUCGCUAAUGUUCAUCCAUUUAAUUUUUUUUAUUUGUAGUAAAAAUACUAUUCUCUCUCUUCCAUUUAUUAUAUUUUUUUUAACUUUGUGAAAUGAUCAACUAUGACAAUUAUUUUGGGACGGAGUGAGUAUCAUGGUUUUGACUGUGUCUGAUUUCUUAACUGUUCUUGGACUUAAAAACAUUUAAAUUUUUUUAGGAACACAUUUACAAACCCAUUGGUUAUUGGACAUAGAUAACAUUUACAAAUUUUAAUUCACAAUUUUAACAAUUAUAAAAUUGUCAUUAGUAUUAGUUAUCAUGUGUAGAUAAAUGAUAGAACGAUAUUGGUGUGAUAAAACAUAAUAAUUACUAAUAUUAAAUUAAUAUUAGUUUUAAAUGUUUUUAUUAAAAAAUAAUUGUAUGUUUAUCCUUAUUACUCCAUCUUCUCUUUACUAAUAAUGCCUUGAGAAUAUUGAAAUAUUUGGACAUGACAAAUAUAACCGUUUUAAUAAUUUAUCAUCUUUGUGAUGGAGAAUUAUGUAACUAUAUUUUUUUUAAUUGAGGAUUGUAAUAAAAGUAGAUUAUAAUAUAUAUUAUAAUUGUUUUUAUUUUUUAAUAUAUAAAUAAAGUAUAGUAAUAUGUAAGUAAACGGAUAAAUAAUAGAUAAAUAAUUAAAUGACAUAUAUCUACAAUUACAUUUUAUAUAUUAAGUAUAGUAUAGUAUAAUAUAAAGUAGACGGAUAAAUAGAUAGAUAAUUAAAUGACGUAUAUGUACAAUUACAUUUUUCACAUGACAAGUACAAACUAUGCACUUCUAAGUGCAAGUUUAUGGAGUUAUUUGCAUGUCUUAGAGCUGGAGCUUGUGUUGUAGGAUACAACACUUUGUUAAAAUUCUCUAGUCAAUUCAUUAAUUCAUAUACACAUGGCCGAAGACAAUAAUAAAGCAUCUCCUUUUCCAUAAGAAUGUCCAAAUCAUCAAAUUCAAACAAAACUCCACACACCCAAGUAAUGUUCUUUUCAUUUUGCCACUUCAAUUUGUACAUUUUAACACACGCCAUAUGCAUGGCACAACAUGGCCAACUGUUGGUGCAUGUUAAUUAUAUAGUUUUAUUUUUUAUAUCUAUAAAUACACUCAUCUCCACUGUACUUUAUUCAUCCAGAGCGACCAAAGUGAGAUAUUAGUUUCAAUCAACAUGCUGCUACUACAAUGAAAGCUUCAUUUCCACUUUGAUGCUAAUGGGAAUUUUCUUUCCUAGCAUCAGUGUGUGUUUCUUCUAGGUCUGAUCCUCAAUCCUUUUAUCUUCAAGUCUAACAAGUUUCAAACUCUUUUGAGAAAUGAAAUGGGCACAUUCGACUUCUGCAGAAAUUUGACCAACGUUCUAAAAUUUGUCGAGAAUCUACAAAACUACCGUCUUUUGGAAUAUAAGUCCAAACCUCACACAAUAUUUCUUCCGCAGCACACCGAUGCCGAUUACAUCCUUGUUGUACUCAGUGGUAAUUUAUUAUUUAUCAAGUUGAAUAUUUAAAACUAAUCACUCAUAGUUCAUUCAAAAAGAACGGUAUUUAUUAUUUUGAGGAGUGCUAGUAACACUCUCUCAAACACUCACUUUUUAUUGGUUGAAACAUGUGUGGACCCCUCGCUUUGGAAAUAGGUCCCACAUAAAGUGGUAAGACCCACACAUAUUUCAACUAAUGAAAGAGUGUGUGUUUGAGAGAUUGUUGAAAAAAGAGUAUUAUUAGCAUUUCUCUUAUUACUUUACAUAUUUGUUUUGUAAGGAUAAGUUAAAUUCAGUUAUAAAAUCUAAUGUCAUUGUAAUUUCCAGGAAAAGCUAUACUCACAGUGUUGAAACCCGAUGAUAGAAACUCCUUUAACCUUGAGCGCGAAGAUACGAUAAAACUUCCUGCUGGCACAAUUGCUUAUUUGGUUAACAGAGAUGACAACGAGGAGCUUAGAGUAUUAGAUCUCGCCAUUCCUGUAAAUAGACCUGGCCAACUUCAGGUAAUAUAACCAAUGUUUACCUAUUCUCAUAUCAAAUAUGGUAUGCAUUCUAAUGUAUAAACAAAUUUAGGGGCCUCUACCAUAACAUCACAACAAAAAUUGCGACUGUACAUAUUUUUUUGUAAUGUUUUCCUAAUAUUUUCUUUAUUUUUUUGUCCUUUUCAUCAGUCUUUCUUAUUGUCUGGAAAUCAAAACCAACAAUCCUACUUAUCUGGGUUUAGUAAGAACAUUCUAGAGGCUUCCUUCAAUGUAAGUAUAAAACACACAAUUUUUUUUCAUUUUUGUAUGUAUUAGUUUGGUAUUGUAUAUGUUAAUACUCACUUUGUCAAUGUAUGUAUUGUAAAAAAAUAUAGACUGAUUAUGAAGAGAUAGAAAAGGUUCUUUUAGAAGAGCAUGAGAAAGAGACACAACACAGAAGAAGCCUUAAGGAUAAGAGACAGCAAAGUCAAGAAGAGAAUGUAAUAGUAAAAUUAUCAAGGGGACAAAUUGAGGAAUUGAGUAAAAAUGCAAAGUCUACCUCCAAAAAAAGUGUUUCCUCUGAAUCUGAACCAUUCAACUUGAGAAGUCGCGCUCCUAUCUAUUCCAACGAGUUUGGAAAGUUCUUUGAAAUCACCCCAGAGAAAAAUCCACAGCUUCAAGACUUGGAUAUAUUUGUCAAUUCUGUAGAGAUUAAGGAGGUAUGAUAAAAUUAUUUUAUAAUAUAGGAAAUUCACCAAAUUACACAAUGAGAUUUCACUUGAUCAAAUUAGAAUUGUUCUAAAUGAUUUGAUUUUUGUCCUUUGAAGUUAUAAUGUCAAACUUUUGUUACUAACUUGACAUCUCAUACACAACAAGUUUUACAUACUCAAUAACAUUUUUUAUUUAUAGAACAUAUAUCUAAUGUAUUUAUUUAAUUAUUCUUUCAAAUUAAAUAUUAGGGAUCUAUAUUGUUGCCACACUACAAUUCAAGGGCCAUAGUAAUAGUAACAGUUAACGAAGGAAAAGGAGAUUUUGAACUUGUGGGUCAAAGAAAUGAAAACCAACAAGAGCAGAGAAAAGAAGUUGACGAGGAAGAAGAACAAGGAGAAGAGGAGAUAAAUAAACAAGUGCAAAAUUACAAAGCUAAAUUGUCUUCAGGAGAUGUUUUUGUGAUUCCAGCAGGCCAUCCAGUUGCCGUAAAAGCUUCCUCAAAUCUUGAUUUGCUUGGGUUUGGUAUUAAUGCUGAGAACAAUCAGAGGAACUUUCUUGCAGGUAUAUUAAAUCUUGAUUUGCUUGGGUUUGGUAUUAAUGCUGAGAACAAUCAGAGGAACUUUCUUGCAGGUAUAUUAUAUUAUCACCCAGUCUCUGUCACUAUUUAUUCAUUUUAAGUGUGUAUUUUAAAAGUCAACUUCUAUUUAAAUCAAGGGGAAAAUAUUAAGAUAUGCUUAUUAUUUUGGUGAUUGAAAAUUUGAAGGCGAUGAGGAUAAUGUGAUUAGUCAGAUACAGCGACCAGUGAAAGAGCUUGCAUUCCCUGGAUCAGCUCAAGAGGUUGAUAGGAUACUAGAGAAUCAGAAACAAUCUCACUUUACAGAUGCUCAACCUCAACAAAGGGAGAGAGGAAGUCGUGAAACAAGAGAUCGUCUAUCUUCAGUUUGAAAUGCUUCUUAAUGAGUGGACAAAAUACUAUGUAUGUAUGCUAUCAAGAGAUAUAUCUCACAGGGAGCAAUGAAU